rnacentral:lncRNA from 1 species
CUUCAUACCCUUCCUCUUCCUGAUGUCAGUCACAAGCGUUGAAGCCUGCGAUCCUGCCUCCAAUGGGUCAGACGACAUCAUCUCCCAAUGAUCAAACACACACUGAGGGAAGGCCUGUCCUGAGGUUGCUGCUCUAAGCUGACUUGAGAAUCCAAAUGACUCGACAACUGGCAGGUACGCCUUGAUGUUGUAAAGCGGUGUUCCUGGCCUCUGCAUCUCCUCAAAGACGUGUCCACGCUUCUGAUUCAGCACGCUGUAGAUUCCUCCAAGAGCUCCCUCUGGUGCUUGGAUCUCAACCAUGUAAACCGGUUCCAAAAGCCUGGGCUUGGCAGUGAUCUGAGAGGCGUAGAUAACCCUCCUCGCUGUCGGGAUAACCUGACCACCACCUCUGUGGAUAGCAUCAGAGUGGAGCACCACAUCGCAAACCUCAAAACAGAUUCCUCUCAUGUUCUCAUCACAAAGAGGACCUUCCUUGGAAGCCCACUGGAACCCAGCAACAACAGAAUCCUUGAUCUCAUUCAGGUAUUGCACUCCCUUACACAUGUCAACAACCAUGUUGGGCCCUGUGGUUUCAGGUCCAAACGCCCAUAUCUUCUUUGCGAGAUCCUUGUCCCAGCCAAACUCCUCAGCCAAGAUCUUGGAACGUAUCUUGGGAUCAUCUCUUGGACCAAUACGGCCUUCAUCAAUCGCCUCCGCAAGACCAUCCUCCAAGGGCCUAGCCUCCAUGUACAGACGGUUGUGCUUGUUCGGGGACUUGCUCAUCACAGUACGCACAGAUCGCUCCAAAACAGUCUCACGGAAUGAGACGACAGGGUCUGACUUGACAAUCUCAGCACCACCCAUGAAAUCAUCCUGAAGAUCCUUCAAGCAAAUCUCAAGAUGCAGUUCUCCAGCACCAGCAACAAUGUGCUCGCCUGACUCCUCCAUUGUGCACACAACCAUAGGGUCAGACUUGGCCAGCCUCUUAAGUCCCUCAACAAGCUUGGGAAGAUCAGAAGCGACCUUGCACUGAACAGCAACACGUACAACAGGGGACACAGAGAACUUCAUCGCACGGAUAGGAUGAGCAUCAACUUCUUUCUCAUUCGUCAGCGUAGCAUUCUUAGUGAUGAACUGAUCAAGACCAACCAUAGCAACGGUGUUACCACAGGGAACAUCCUCAACAGUCUCUUGCCUCUUGCCCAUCCAGAUGACAGUCCUCUGAACACUCUUGACAUAAAGAUCUUUCUUCUCACCAGGAACAAAGUUGGGACCCAUGAUCCUGACCUUCAUACCGGUAGACACCUUUCCAGAGAAGACACGCCCAAAAGCAAAGAAUCUUCCCUUGUCUGAAGCGGGAAUCAUCUUAGAAACAUAGAGCAUGAGCGGACCAUUAGGAUCACAGUUUCUGAUGGCAGUGGCAUACUGAUCAUCGAGAGGACCUUCAUACAGGUUCUCAACACGGUACCUCUGGGCAGUGUGGGGAGAUGGAAGGUGAAAGAUCAUCAUCUCAAGCAAUGCAGUACUCGCAGGGAGCCAAGUCUGCAUAACACGCUUCAUCAAAGGUUUACCCAUAAGGUCCUUCUCAUCAGACUUCAUCUGGACACCAAGCUUCUGCAACAUAGGCCACAACUUAUCCUUCUGGUCGUUCAUGCAAGUGGCGAUGAUCUGCUUGAUGGGUUCAUAACAGAACUGCACAAACCCACGCUUGCAGGUAGCGGACCCAGUGUUCUUGCUGCUCCAUUUCCUGGUGGCGGGGUCAAAGAAGUUCUCACCCCACAGCCUCUCCAUCAUCUUAGUCUCGUCAACACCGAACUUGGAAGCAUACAUCUUGGCAAAGUUGGUAAGGGUGAAAGCCCAUCCGUGGAGACCAGCAGAGAAGGCGACAGUUCCCUUCUCAGGGUAAACCUGAACAUCACCAAGGAGAGGAUCCUCGUACGUUGCCAUGAUGACAUUAGCAUUCUCAAUAACCCUCUGGAAAGUCUGGUAAGCCUCCUCACCAUCAACCUGAAGCUCAAGGAAACACCUGUCCAUCUUGUUCACAGUCAGAACGGGCCUAAUCCUCUCCCCAAGAGCCUGACGUAGCACAGUCUCGGUCUGAACACACACACCCUCGAUACAAUCGACCACCACAAGCGCACCAUCGGUAAUACGGAGCGCAGCAGUGACCUCAGAGGAGAAGUCAACGUGGCCAGGAGAGUCGAUGAGAUUGAUAAGGUACUCGUUUCCAUCUCUGGCACCAGUGAAGCUCUUCAAGGAAGCAUCAGUCAUCUCGUAGUAGAGAGAGAUACCCGUGGACUUGAUAGUGAUACCACGUUCAGCCUCAUCAGCACGGGUAUCAGUCAUACGGACAUCACCAGCAACUUCUUGAGCAAUGAUACCAGCAGCAGCAACCAAGGAGUCAGUGAGUGUGGAUUUACCUGUCAAUCACAAGAUAUAUAAAAGCAUAAGAGACAAUAGAACAGAGUAGUAGGAAACUAAUUAAGUCUGAAAAUUAAAAAAAGACAGUACCAUGGUCGACAUGGGCAAUAACGGACAUGUUACGGAUGUUGUGUUUGUAAUCCAUAAUCCUCCGAAGCUCAUCGGAUGUGAACUUCACCUACAAGUUCAUUAAAAUAAACAAAUAUUUAAGCUUAGAAUCAACAAAAAUAACAACAACAACAAGGCAAAGUAAAAGAUAGUAUAAAAAAGUUAUAAGGCUUUACCAUUUUGACUAACUCUUAUUCUUCACCUACAAUAUCUCUGCAACCACAGAAACAAUAAUAAGAAUUAAUCAACUGAAAUGAAACGAUUUAAAAAAAAAAAUUAACACCAAAAUAAAAUCUCAUAAUCUUCUGAACUUGAAGCUUUUCAACACAGAAAAAUAGAAGAACAGCUCACAAUCAAAUGGUAUUUAUACAUUUCUACGAACAGAUCUAAAGAGACGAGACAGAACGAUAACCAAAAAUGAAAUUAACAACUAAGAGUCAAGGGGGAUUGGUUAAUCUAAACAUCGAAAGCUAAAACUAUGGAGAUUCAAUACGAAAACUAAGCAUCAACAAUCGGAGAUCGUAACAAGGAGGAGACGGACUAACAUUGGAGGGGAAGGAGAGAGAGAGACGAGCUUGAGAGAGCAGAGAUUGAGUGGAGGCGUUCGAUAUAUUCCCUUAUCUCUUCUAGGGUUUUCUCUCUGUUCUUUCGUGGGCCUCUUCGGCCCGAUACAAUAUUGGCCCAAUAGUGGCUAAUAUUUAAUAUUUUGGCCCAAUAUAGUUCGUGUAAGAUUUUGCUUUGAAGUUUUAUGGAAUUUGUUUUAGUUAUAAUGAGCAGUAUUACAAGUGAACAUAAUUUUGUACUAUUAUUUAAACUAAGACUUUAUGAUAGAUUUAUUAUAAAUAAACGGUUUGGAGGAAUCAAUGACGAAAUAUUAACUAUGUUUCCGGUAAUAUUCUAAACAAUAUUUGACAUAACAAUAUUAUUUUCUUUUAUUAUUAUUAUCUUUUAGACAUUAUAAUAUCGAUAUGUUGUGUAUCUGAUUCUGUAUAUGGAAUUUUAAAACCAUCCGAAUAUGUAAAGGCUUUUAAAUUACGGUUUAUCAUAUUCAAGCUUUACGCUAUUCACAACAUUCCAGUGGAAUCAAACAAACAAAAGAUUAACAAUUUAUCUUAUUAUUAAAAAAAAAUCUCCCAAAUGUAGUUUCCAAUUUACUGCUUUGCUCCACGCAUUGACGCUUCAUUUGUUCAACAACUUCAAAACCAGACUGGCAAACCCCAAAGCAACUUAUACAGAACAAUAUAAUCUCCAUUAACUUGGAGAACCGUGACAUCAUUAUUACAUACAAAAGGUUGAUCAUCAUCAGUCACUAGGAAGACUUAAACAUCAGUCGUGACUGCGAAUUAACCCUUGCGGCCUGAUUUCUCUCCUACAAGCUUCGUCUGGAUUGAAAUCAAAAGAAAAAUGGUGUAAUCAGAAAAAAUUAAAUACAAUUAUUCACAGGACGUGGGUGAAUAAGAUGCAACAGAAAAUCCAAAACCUUGUAGUUAUUUUUUCUUGACAUCAAAUCCCAUAGGUGCUGAUGCGGCCUCUAUUUUUGUGACUAUCUCAUUAGCCGGACAUUUUGAAGUAAACUGAGUUUUCCGUUUGACAAGCCCCUGAAAUUAAGCACUGAUUAUCGAAGGGAAAUAAAAAUUGUGAAAUUGGUAUUAUGAUGAACUACUUAUACCACUACUUAAAUUUUGCCUUACUUAGCAGUUUAAAGUACUUUUUGUGGAUUACGAUCCACAUUAAUCAAAUCUUAUCAUUUCAAGCAUUUUAAAUAUAUCAUAUAAUCUAAAAAAUUAUUUUAUUCUGAUUAUUUUUGAAUAAUCACAAAUAAUAAAUAGUAAAAAUUUGAUGUUAUUGGAAGAAUAUCAAGAACCACUGGAACCUUAGCAAUUAAUCUAAAUUUGUAAUGUUGGUAUACAUUCAAAACAUGGUUGAUUGUUUCUUUUGCUGCACACCUUACAUAUUAUGUAUAACACUUAUUCUCAUUAGAUUUGAUAUAACUGUAUUACAAUCCAACAUUAUUUGUCCAAUAAUCUGUCAUCAUUUUGGUGGCACUUGAAUUUCCAAAGAGUGUGGCUGCAAAUAUAUGCUUGUUUUAAUAACCCAAGCGAUUUUACAAUGUAAUGUCAUAUUUAGAAAUUUUUGUUUUUUAUGAGAAAAAAUGUGCUUCUUGCUACGAUAAUACAGUUUUGUUUUGGCUAAUCCGAAUCUUUAUUUAACUGAUCAACUACACUAUGGAGAAGCAGAUUAAUGAUAAUAAGUUUGAAAAGGGGUUGGUCGAACCAGUUUUGUCAUUCAUUAUCUUCGACGGUGAUUGGUAUCUCUCUCAAUAACGCUAUCUUACAUUUUCUCUUUGCACCAAAACAGGAUGCGUCUUUGAUUAGAACCGCAUUCAUCAUACAAUUUCAAGAUUAUACGAUGACAUUUGAAAAACAUAAAACGACCAAGAGUUAAUUAUUCUGAGCCUAUAGUUGCAAGAUAGGAUAUAUUAUGAUGAAUGCUCUUCGACAUAUAGAUGAGAUAAGCAAUGCCAUAAAGAAAAAGAGAUUUUCUGGCUUAUAAAAUACAAAAAUACAAAAACAACUCGAGGGAUCCUUUAAAAAAAAGAAAGACGGUCUCUGUGUUAUAAGUUUUUAGUAGAGUUUUAACUUCAACACCGCAAUAAGGGAAUCAAAAUAUCUGACCUAACAAAACCUCAUCUUCCCUACACCUGCAGAGCAUCAACCUAUGGUUAUGCCUUGGACACUAGCAUCUUAUUGCUUGCAAUGCAUAACAGCAUAUAACAACGUUCCAGUGAUAACAGGAUAACAAGAGUGCAAAGAGUGAACACAUAAGAAGUUUUCUCAACUUCAAGAGUGCAAAGAGUAAACACAUAAGGAUGUGGCAACACAGAUAAAGUCAUAACACCAAAACAGAGUAAACAAAAAUACGGUAGAUAUAACAACGUUCCAAUGAAAACAGGAUAACAAGAGUGCAAAAAAGAGUAAACACAAAGAUAAACCAGUUUUCAACUAAAAAAGUAAAACAUUCAAGAGGAUUGUGGCCACAGAUAAAGUGAUAUCAUAACACCAAAACAGAGCUAACAGUAAACAAAAUACGGUAGAGAUGGAGAGAAAAAGGUGACCAUAGUGAGUCUUGUUGGCUGCUGCUUAUAGCUUGUCUUCGAAGUCAGACAAGGGAGUCAUCUGUUCCUUCAUACCCUUCCUCUUCCUGAUGUCAGUCACAAGCGUUGAAGCCUGCGAUCCUGCCUCCAAUGGGUCAGACGACAUCAUCUCCCAAUGAUCAAACACACACUGAGGGAAGGCCUGUCCUGAGGUUGCUGCUCUAAGCUGACUUGAGAAUCCAAAUGACUCAACAACUGGCAGGUACGCCUUGAUGUUGUACAGCGGUGUUCCUGGCCUCUGCAUCUCCUCAAAGACGUGUCCACGCUUCUGAUUCAGCACGCUGUAGAUUCCACCAAGAGCUCCCUCUGGUGCUUGGAUCUCCACCAUGUAAACCGGUUCCAACAAUCUGGGCUUGGCAGUGAGCUGCGAGGCGUAGAUAACUCUCCUCGCUGUUGGGAUAACCUGACCACCACCUCUGUGGAUAGCAUCGGAGUGGAGCACAACAUCGCAGACCUCAAAGCAGAUUCCUCUCAUAUUCUCAUCACAAAGAGGACCUUCCUUGGAAGCCCACUGGAACCCAGCAACAACAGAAUCCUUGAUCUCAUUCAGGUAUUGAACUCCCUUACACAUGUCAACAACCAUGUUGGGCCCUGUGGUUUCAGGUCCAAACGCCCAUAUCUUCUUCGCAAGAUCCUUGUCCCAACCAAACUCCUCAGCCAAGAUCUUGGAACGUAUCUUGGGAUCAUCUCUUGGACCAAUACGGCCUUCAUCUAUUGCCUCCGCAAGACCAUCCUCCAAGGGCCUAGCCUCCAUGUACAGACGGUUGUGCUUGUUUGGGGACUUGCUCAUCACAGUACGCACAGAUCGCUCCAAAACAGUCUCACGGAAUGAGACGACAGGGUCUGACUUGACAAUCUCAGCACCACCCAUGAAAUCAUCCUGAAGAUCCUUCAAGCAAAUCUCAAGAUGCAGUUCUCCGGCACCAGCAACAAUGUGCUCACCUGACUCCUCCAUCGUGCACACAACCAUAGGGUCAGACUUGGCCAGCCUCUUAAGUCCCUCAACAAGCUUGGGAAGAUCAGAAGCGACCUUGCACUGAACAGCAACACGUACAACAGGGGACACAGAGAACUUCAUUGCACGGAUAGGAUGAGCAUCAACUUCUUUCUCAUUCGUCAGCGUAGCAUUCUUAGUGAUGAACUGAUCAAGACCAACCAUAGCAACGGUGUUACCACAGGGAACAUCCUCAACAGUCUCUUGCCUCUUGCCCAUCCAGAUGACAGUCCUCUGAACACUCUUGACAUAAAGAUCUUUCUUCUCACCAGGAACAAAGUUGGGACCCAUGAUCCUGACCUUCAUACCGGUAGACACCUUUCCAGAGAAGACACGUCCAAAAGCAAAGAAUCUUCCCUUGUCUGAAGCGGGAAUCAUCUUAGAAACAUAGAGCAUGAGCGGACCAUUAGGAUCACAGUUUCUGAUGGCAGUGGCAUACUGAUCAUCGAGAGGACCUUCAUAUAAAUUCUCAACACGGUACCUCUGUGCAGUGUGGGGGGAUGGAAGGUGAAAGAUCAUCAUCUCAAGCAAUGCAGUGCUGGCAGGGAGCCAAGUCUGCAUGACACGCUUCAUCAAAGGUUUACCCAUAAGCUCCUUCUCAUCAGACUUCAUCUGGACACCAAGCUUCUGCAACAUAGGCCACAACUUAUCCUUCUGGUCGUUCAUGCAAGUGGCGAUGAUCUGCUUGAUGGGUUCAUAACAGAACUGCACAAACCCACGCUUGCAGGUAGCGGACCCAGUGUUCUUGCUGCUCCAUUUCCUGGUGGCAGGGUCAAAGAAGUUCUCACCCCACAGCCUCUCCAUCAUCUUAGUCUCGUCAACACCGAACUUGGAAGCAUACAUCUUGGCAAAGUUGGUCAGGGUGAAAGCCCAUCCGUGGAGACCAGCAGAGAAGGCAACAGUUCCCUUCUCAGGGUAAACCUGAACAUCACCAAGGAGAGGAUCCUCGUACGUUGCCAUGAUGACAUUGGCAUUCUCAAUGACCCUCUGGAAAGUCUGGUAAGCCUCCUCACCAUCAACCUGAAGCUCAAGGAAACACCUGUCCAUCUUGUUCACAGUAAGCACGGGCCUAAUCCUCUCACCAAGGGCCUGACGUAGCACAGUCUCGGUCUGAACACAGACACCCUCGAUACAGUCGACCACCACAAGGGCACCAUCGGUGAUACGGAGAGCAGCAGUGACCUCAGAGGAAAAGUCAACGUGGCCAGGAGAGUCGAUGAGGUUGAUAAGGUACUCGUUACCAUCUCUAGCACCAGUGAAGCUCUUCAAGGAAGCAUCAGUCAUCUCGUAGUAGAGAGAGAUACCCGUGGACUUGAUAGUGAUACCACGUUCAGCCUCAUCAGCACGAGUAUCAGUCAUACGGACAUCUCCAGCAACUUCUUGGGCAAUGAUACCCGCAGCAGCAACCAAGGAGUCAGUGAGGGUGGAUUUACCUGUACACCACAACAUACAUAAAAGCAGCAUAAGAGACAAGAGAACAGUGUAGUAGUAAACUAAUUAAGUCCGAAAAAAUAAAAAGACAGUACCAUGGUCGACAUGGGCAAUAACGGACAUGUUACGGAUGUUGUGUUUGUAAUCCAUAAUCCUACGAAGCUCAUCGGCCGUAAACUUCACCUACAAGUUCAUUAAAAAAAAGAAAAGAAAAAAAGAGUAUUUAAGCUUAGAAUUAACAACAACAAGGCAAAGUAAAGAUAAAACAAAAGGCUUACCAUUUUGACUAACUCUUAUUUCUUCACCUACAAUAUCUCUGCAACCACAGAAACAAUAAUAAGAAUUAAUCAACUGAAAUGAAACGAUUCAAAAACAUUUUAAUACAAAAAUAAAAUCUCAUAAUCGUCUGAACUUGAGCUAACAGAUAAAUGUAUAGCGAGAUAAUUUGUCUUCUAUCGUAUUUGGAUCCAAACUUUCAAUCAAGUAAAGAUUAGAAGAACACAGCUCACAGUCAAAUGGUAUUUAUACAAGCCAAUUUGAUUCGUAUCUGAGUUUCAUCAUUAAGCGUUUAUACGAUCAGAUCUAAAGAAACGAGACAGGUCCAUUAACAAAAUCAUAAAAAUAACAACAUAGAAACGAUAGAGAAACAGUAGUGAUCAUCUGAACACCAACAGCUAAAACUGUGCAGAUUCAAUACAAAAAAUGAAGCUAUUAACAAUCGGAGAAAACAAUCAUCGUAGCAGAGAAACGGACUAACCUUGGAGGGGAAGGAGGGAGAGAGAGGGAAGAGCUUGAGAGGGAGGAGCUUGAGAGGAGGUGUUUGAUAUAUGCUUAAUCUCUUCUAGGGUUUUCCGCUUUUUUUCGCGGCCCUUUGUGGCCCACUAGCUUAAUAUUUUGGCCCAAUAGUUCGUUUAAGAUUUGGUUUGUAUUUUUUUUUAAGUUUUGUAUGUAACUUUUUUUUUAAUGUAAAAUAAGCAGUAUUAAAAGUUUACACUAUAAUUUAAAAUUUUAAACUAAAGAGUUUAGCUCAGAUUUUAUUAUAAAUAAACGGUUUGGAGGAAUCAAUAACAAGGUAUUAUCUAAGUUUCAUGUAAUAUUCUGAAUACAAUUUGACAUAAUAUUUAUUUGGUGUAUCUGUUGAUGCUGGACUAAGGGCGAAGCCAGUAAGAGGAUACAGGUGCACGUGCCCCCACAACUUUUUUACAAAAUUAGUGUAUUUCUUCACUAAUUUUAUAUGUAUCAAUUGAAAUUUAUAGUUUUACACGUUGGUGCACCCAGUCAUUAUCACUUCUGGAUUCGCUACUGAACACAAUUAUGUACUUUGAUGUAAAUUCUUAAAAACAUCCAAAUACGUAAAGCUUUUAAAUUUACAGUUUAUCAGAUUCAAGCUAUACACGUUAUUCACAACAUUCCAGUGGAAUCAAACAAAGAUUAACAAUUAUUAUCACUUUUUUUUUUAACAAAUUCCCCCAAUGUAGUUUCCAAUUUGCUCCUUUGCUCCAUUUCAUGAUGGUUCCUUUUGUAUAACUUCAAAACCACACUCACAAUCCCCACAAAGCAAUUUAUACAGAACAAUAUCUAAAUAAUAUUAGAAGCAUACGUAGACAAUUUGGCCGGAUAUCAAGAAGCAACCACCGCACCACCUGAAACUAAAAGAAACAAAACAAGAUUUGUGUUGUUCUGUCUCUUCAUUACUUUCUAGACUAUUUUUAUCUAACAGAUUCUUCAAAGAAAAAUGUUGUCUGUACCUUGGGUUCCUUCCUCUUUCUCUUCGUCGAUUGUUUUCCAAACGAUGUCCUUAAGACCCGUGGUGAGGUUCUUGUAAAACUAAAAUAGAGACCAAGAAAAAAAGGAUUGACCAACUUGUUUCAGAACCUAUAUAUCCACAAGACUAGAGCUUGCAUGCAUGCAUUACCUUGUGGAAUUCCAAGGUGUCACCCCCUGAUUUCCUCAUUUCAACCAUAUAUAGCGAUGGAGCAACUUGAAAAACCUGAACAGUAUAUAUAUAUCUCCAUUAACUUAAGAGAUUAGGGCCUCAUCAUCACACAAAAAGGGUGUGAUCAUCAGUCAGUCACUAAGAAGACUAACCUCAGCCGUGACUGCUAAUUGACCCUUGCGGCCUGAUUUCUCUCCUACAAGCUUUACCUGGAUGAAAUCAAGAAAAUGGUGGUAAUCAGAAGAAUUGAAUACAAGACUUGAGUGAAUGUGAUGCAACAGAAAAUCCAAAAACCUUGUAGUUAUUUUUCUUGACAUCAAAUCCCAUAGGUGCUGCUGCGGCCUCUAUUUUUGUGACUAUCUCAUUAGCCGGACAUUUUGAAGUAAACUGAGUUUUCCGUUUAACAAGCCCCUGAAAAUUUAAACAUGCUUAUCUCUAAGAACGUCUACUUCCCACUAACAAAAAAAAAUUACAAAAUACAGGAUUCUCAAAAACAGAAUUGGUUACUAAACUUUUGGCAAAAGCUACUUCUCAUUUAGUAUCCCAAAAAAGGAAAGCGGUACCAUUUGCUUUUCGAAAAGUGAACCGAGAUUGAGACCUUUGGAUGUUGAGAUGAGCUCAAAAGCAUUCAUAGUUACUGGUGUUCUAAGUCCUUCUUCUCGCCUCUCCACAACAAGGUUUUGGGACUCCUAUAUUACCCAACAAAAACAAUCUAAGCACAAUAUAUCCAAUACAAAGUUCAUUAAAAUAAUCGACUUACCGAAUAAAAAGAAAUAAAAGUCUUACCCCUGAUUCAUCAAAAAUUGCAUCAACAUCAUCAAGGCUGACAUUUGCAUUUUCAUAUUUGGGUGCUUUAUACCCUUUAUUAAACCACUCGUUUUCAAUGACUUCAGCAAAUGUAAUCCUCUGUCCAUUAUAAAAAAAAGACUUCAGACCUACUCAGUCCAGUAGAAGCUCUUGCCUCUUCAAACAGCAUAAAAAAGCAAAGGAAUCCUCUUCAGCUAUAAAAGAGUAAGAAUAUGUAUACCGUUGCUGGAUUCGGAUCCAGAAUUCUUUUGAUUAGCUUCUUGGCACUUGCAGAGAACCAGUGAGGGCAGGUAAACUCGGCUUUGAAUAUCUGUAAUCAAGAAGACAUAAGAAUCAGGUGGCAUACAUAGAUAGAACCUUUUCCACAUAGCAUGCGGAAUGAAGCAUAUAACACCUUUUUAUAUAAUGAGGCCAAGUUAGAAUCUUCGAAAGGCAAAUAUCCAGCCAUUAAGACAAAGAGAAUCACACCACAAGACCACAAAUCAGCUUUGGCUCCAUCGUAACCUUUGUUAUUGAUUACCUAUUAGAGGCAAGAAUAGAUUGCUACUGAGACCAGAAAAGAAUAAGCUCAAGCUAGCUUGACAGUAGAAGUAAAAUCAUACCUCUGGGGCAACAUAAUUGGGUGUUUUACAUGUUGUGUGAAGUAAACCAUCCUCCUAAAAGAAGAAGAAGGGUCACAAAAUUAAUUAGUUUUGAUGAUUUUCUCCUUAGAUGCCAAAGUAUGUGUAGUAUCACGCUAUGACAUUUUCAUCAAAAUAAUAUAACAAGAAGAAAUCAAUAAGUGGAAAGCUCACUCACUCGGACUUGCUGAGGUAGAGCACUCAAUCCAAAAUCAGAAACUUUCAGAGUCCCAUUUGCAUCCAAAAGCAAAUUCUCAGGCUGCAACCAUGAGGUGGAAGUAGAUUAAACACAUUGAACCACAACUCUGCCAACCGAUUCAUUCAUUAUACAAAGCCACAAAAUAAGAUUCCCAAAACCUUAAGGUCUCUAUGAUAAACUCCUCUGCUAUGGCAAUAGUCAACAGCGUUAAUAAGCUGGUGGAAGUAGUUCCUCGCCCCAUCUUCCUUCAACCUCCCCUUGCUUGCCUAGAUAACAUAGAAUCAAGUCCUUAUAAUUCUUCAAAACCAUCUUCUAUGAUGAUAAAAACUGAGAAAAAGCUUACAAUUUUGUCGAAGAGCUCUCCACCAGUAACGAAUUCCAAAACAAAAUAGAUCUUAGUUUUGCUGGCCAUCACCUGAAAAAAAAAAUACUAUUACCAGUAAAACCUCUAUAAAUUAAUAAUAUUGAAACUACACCAAAACUAUAAUUUUUUUUAUUAAUUUAUCGAUAUACUAAUUGAACCAAAAACUCAAUUUCAGACUAUAAAAUUAUAUUAUUUUAUAGAGAUUUUUAGUGUAUAUUAAUUUAUACUGUAUAUGUAAAUUGGCCACGGACUACUUAUGUUCCCAUAAACUUAAAAAAAAACUCAAGAUAUGUGUAUGAAUCUAGAAGAACAAAGCUAAUAGAUUCUAAGCAUGCAAGCAAGUUAGAUCAAAACCUCAAAGCUUAUAGAUUUCUAAACAUUGAAGCAAGGAGUAAAACAAGAAGGGAAAAUAUUUAGAUUAAGAACCUCAAGCAUACGGAUCACAUUGGGGUGCUUGAUGAGUUUCAUCGUCGAGAUCUCACGUUUGAUCUAACAUUAAACAACAAAACCCCAAACCGAAAGUUAAAACCUUUAUUACAUCAAAAGAAAACAUCAAGCGUGAUAUAUACCUGAGCGAUCAUUUUGUUUCCCAUAACUUUCUCUUUAUCAAUAACUAGAGGUUGGUCCGCCCUACGGGCGGGUAAGCUUACAAUAAAAAAUUUAUAAGAUUGGGCAAAAAAUCCAAACCUAAAAACCCAAACCGAACCCGAUUUGAAAAAAUACUAUCGAAUCUGAACCGAAAUUGAUUAAAUAUCCGAAUGAGUUCAAAAUUUUGGUAUUUAAAGAACUGAAACCGAACCCGAUCCGAACCAAAAUAUUUUGAAUAACCGAAUAUAUCCGAAAUAGAUUUAUAUACCUGAUAAUGUUACUUAUUUUUAGAUUUAAUAUUUACUAAAAACAUCUAAAAUAUAUAAAAUAUUUUUAAAAUUUCUCAAAAUACUUAAAAAUAUAUAGAAAUAAUCAAAAACAAAUGUUUGAAAUAGCUAAAAUAUACUUAAAUCACCAAAAAAUAUUUGAAAUAUCUAUUGAUGUCUUAUCCAAAUAUUCAAAACAAACUAAUUUAUAAGUUCAUUUUAUGUAUUUUGACAUAUGUUAUUCAAAUUUAUAUGUAAUAUAUCAUUUUUUUUAUAAAUUUUGAGAAAUUUUAAGCAUAUAAUAAAUUUUAAAAGUUUUAAAAUAAUUUAAAUGGGUUAUCCGAACCCGAAAAGAUCCAAACCGAACCCGAACUGAAAUUUAGAAAUACCCGAAUGGGGCUGAAAUUUUUGAACCCGGAAACCCGAAAGCCGAAUAGACCCAAACUGAAUCCGAAUGUGUACCCGAACACCCACCCCUAUAAUUGUUUAUAUUAAAAUGUAUUUUAAUUUUAUAAAACAUUUAAAUUUAAUUUAAAUUGAAUAUAAUAAGUAUAAUCUGUUUUUUUUAAAUCAUAUUGUAAAUUUUAUUUGUUAACAUUUAAUUUGAACAAUUGUUAUAAUUUGUUUUAUAAGAUCAUACCUUAUUUGUUAUUUGCGUUUCUAAAAAAUUGUAAGUUGGUAGUGCAGGUUUACAUUUCGAAUUGAUAGGUGUGCACACAGUUUGGUCCAAUUCAAAGAGAAACUCCAAAGAUUAGAAGCAAAGAACAUUUACACGAUCUGUUGAGUGGGGUUAAAGAGACACUUUUGUUUUGCACACAUGAGUGAAUUAAUGAAGUAAAAGAUUGAAAAUAACAAAGGAAAAUAUUGAAAAUUUAAAAUGAAUAAACCUCUUCAAGCUUCGCUCAACAAUUCACAUCCCUAAUUGUAAAUAUAACAAAAUCAUAAAAAAUAUCAAUUACAUAAUUAAAUGGACGAAACAAUUAGCAAUAUAUUAGCAGCCCAAAAAAGAGGCACACCACAAAGCAAGAUGAUUAAAAUAAUCCCUUCACUCCAAACAUCGAUCUCAUUUCCGUAACUUUGUAUUGAUACUUUAGGAUCAUCGUUGCUCUUCCUAUUGUAUUCUUGUAAACUAUCUGUAAGAAUAAUCAGAAGACUAUCAACUAAAAUGGCAUAACUUAUUUGACAAUGUAACAUUUUAUCAAGCAAACAAUUAUGGACACUAAAACUCACAGAGCCACUAUGUACUAAAUGAGAUCAGAUUCAUAAGUACACUAUGAGCCUCCAACAAUCUGUUAAAGUUGCUACAACAUAACAGUUUUCUGCAUUUCUGUAUAUUCAAAUGAUUUUGGAUCAACUUACAAAGCAUUGUAUGCAUUGAGCUACACGUUAGUGUUGUGAAGCAGCCAUGGAGUUGAUAGGUGGAUAAUUGCAGGUCUUAGUAGCAACUUCUUGCCCACUUAAUUUUCUUCUUCCCAUCAAUGUCAUUAGCUUGUGAACUUCCAUCAGCAGCAGACCCUGGUUGUACCUAUAGCAGAGGCACAUGCUACACAUGACUUAGAAAAUUGGAAGUCAAAGUACUUAGUUAGAUUGAUUGAUAUACCUUGUCCUGGUGCGUAAUAUUCUCCCAGACAAUGAGCUGUUGUUUUAGUGUUGCAGAAAUUUGGAUCUUUAGUGGCUUCUCUGCAUGGUAUCCUUCUAUAGAUCACAAAAGCAGAAUGUAUAAAAAGGUAAAAACGUGCACCACAACUAAUAAACACGAUGAGAAUCAACCACGGGUCUAUGUUUUUACAGUGCUGACCUCAUUGUCUGACUCGUUCUUUCACCUUCUUCCCUUUCGUAGCUGCAUCAUUCAAAUUUCAAAUCAUUUACUUGGAAGCUGGAAGGAAAAUUUGACUUAGUUUGUAGCAUUAUGGUAAUAUAGAAAAAUUACAUAGUUAUAUAUUAUAUCUAAAGGCUCUCUUCAACGCAAGGUCAGAGAAUCAAAACAUACAAAUGAAAACCAAUUCGCUGGAGAUAAAAGAGUGUAAGAAAGUCAGCAAAUGCAUUGUCAGUGAUCAACGAUAUUUUGUGGAUGUAAUGAAAUAUUAAAAGAAACCUAUGAGGAAGCCGAUCCAUGGAACUGAUUCCAUCAUCUUCUGAAUGCUUUCUAGCGGCAAGCAAGUGAGAAUCCUUCAAAGACGCAUAUGUUUGUCAUCCAUCUCUGGUCUCUUUUUUUUUCAGAAUGUAAAUAUGGUAUCUGACGAUGCUUCUUCCAUUUACAUUUGUCUUGACUGAGAAAUCAUUUUGGGCAGAAGCCUCUGGUUUUUCAACUCCUGCAGGGAGAGAAGACAAAAACAGUUAAAGGAAUGUAGACUCUACUCCAAAUGCAGAAGCAAAUCUUGCACAUGCCAAACGCAAACAAUUAGCCAAAAUUACUUACGGUGAUCACGCCUCAUAAUCAUGAAACUAUUGGCACCAUAUCACACUAAAUAGCGGCCAAAUAAACUUAACAAAAGAUCAUGAGCCUAAAUUCUGAUCUCCUUCUUCAUUUCUUUUGAAAUCUAUUAGUCCUGAUCAGCUAACAUCACUAAAAAAAAAUGUAGUCACUUAUGUCUAAGUAAGAACUUGAUGGUAAUUUCAUGAUCAUGGAAUAAAAAUUAAAGAUUUACUGAAUUUAUAAAAGCUUGUUGCAAACAUUGAAAACAGAAGAGAGCAACCAUAAACUAAAAACUCUCACCUUGGAGACACAUCGAUCAUGAAGAGUAGCCAUGAACAGCUUACAUGAUUCCAUUUUCAUUCUGCAGCAGAGUUUGUUACAUCUAGUAAACAUCUCGAUCUGACUGAAAAUAUCAUAUAUACUUAAAAAAAAAAACUUACAACCAUAUGUUCCAAAAAUAUGAUUGAGAUAAUUGAAUCGAACAAACCUUUACGGGAAGCAAUAUGAUGUAUCGAUGAAUAUGAACAAUUUGUGUCUUGAUGGAUCCUGUGAAUAGAUAGAGCCACGAUCUUACAUUCCUGCGAACAACACAUGGCUUGGCCAAAUGAAGGUGUGAGUUUGAAAGAGAAAUCAAAAACAGAUGAUAGAGAUAUGUAUAAGGCUGUAGAUGGAAUCUAUAUGUUACCGAAGCUAAGGAACAGAGGAUGCAGAAAGGCCGAGACUCAAAGCUUUCCAAGACGAUAUGGGAUUUCGCCGGUGUUGCGGUGCUCGAGUUUGCCGGAGAAGUGGAGCUGGAAAUCGUUUCGUCGGUUAUAUUAAAGCUGCAUAUUUUGUCACCCGCGAUUAUUGUACUAUAUUAUUCGUUAGUUGAGUAAUGAAACCGAUUAAUGUAAGAGACACACCGUUGAUCCCAGCAGCACCGCCGUUGAUCUCAGCAGCACCGCCGGCGUCUACGCUUCUUGCCUCCGUGAACGUCUCCUCUCCCUUGCCGCUUCCGCCGCCGUCACAGAAGUCGAUAACAACCAUAAUCAAUCGCGUAAAUCUAACAAUCUGAUUUUCUCUCGCUCUGUUUCUCCUUACGUAGACUGCAGAAAAUCAGACGCCGGAUGAGGAGGAGGAGUAAACCGCCGGUUCAUCACCACUCCUCAGGUGGAUACCGGAUUCUCAUGCAAGGACUUCGAAUCGAACCGUUCCUCUAAACCGAGAAGCGGUAAAGCUCCGAGAAUCUCCAGUCUGUUCAGAGUUAGAUCUGACGAUUUCGAUUCCGAUACCAAGUCUCGAGUUUCCUGCUCGUCCUCGUCUCCGUCGUGGAUGGUGAUGAAAAUUGAAUCAAACAGACUAAUUAAUCUAUUGUUAGUGAUUCAAUGGGUUGAAUCAAAAGAUAAUUAUGAGUGAUGGAGGAAGGUAUGGGAGUUGAGAAGACAAUCGUCUGAAAAACGUUUUUGUUUUGAGGAGAAAAGAUGAGCCGACAGUGGAAAGAGACGCAAUUCUAUUGAGAAAGCUGAUUGGUGAUGUGGCAGAAAAAUGAUAUUUGAUUGGUUGAUUAUAAUUGAGGACGUGGACAUUGUGAGAGGAGCUCUUAUUCCCUUUUAGUAUUGUAUUGAUUUUAAUGGCUACAUUCUCUCCGUUGACUACGUUCCUAGCGAACUUGACUUUCGCGAAGGUACCUUCACCCAACGUUGUACCAAGCUCGUACUUACCCACACGUGUCCUGCUAACACUCGAACUACUACUACUGCUACUACCUGAAGAUGACCCAGACGGCCCCGAUCGCGACGGUGUUGCUCGAGAAGCCAUCUCGUAGGCGGGCGAAUAUUCAAAUCGAACGAAGAAUAUUCGAAGCCGAGAUGAGAUCAGUACGGAGUUAUGAGUAUAAAAAUUCAAGAAAAAAAACGAAGCCGAUUGAUAUUAAAAAUCGCCAGAUGGAGAGAGAGAGAGAGAGAGAGAGAGAGCUGAGAAGAGGGGAACUUUCUGAUUAGUCCGAGGAUUGGUAUUUAAUUAAGUUUAAAUUACAUUGAUUAAUUAACGUAGAAGUAUUAAAUUUAUUUCUGCUUAGGACGAGGUUUGUAUGCAUCUCUCUCACACUCUGACGUCUGCAAAAGGUACAAUGAUUUCGUAUUUAGGUUAAAUAUAUUUUUGAGUUGACAACAAAGGCUUAGAAUGUUUACAACCGUCCCGCCCCGCACCGCAGUUAACAGUAACAAAAAUCUUUACAUAUAUCAUAUAUUUAUACGUUUUUAUAACUGUGAAAACCGCACCGCAGUUGAACCGCUUGUCCUGCACCGUUCAAACCGCAGUUACCAUUCGGAGCCAAAGUAUAAAAAUGCAUAUACAAAAGUAGGUGAGGUUCAUUAAUAUGAUCAGCACGUUUUAAUUUUAGAUUGAAAUCAGUUAAUGGAGUUAUUAUGGUUUAAUAAAACGUUUAGUUGUUUUUGUGACUAAUAAAAUCUCAAAUUAUAACUUAAAAAAACAUUCAAACGUGAAAAAUUGGUCUUUCUCUGUUUAAAAGAUUUUGAGGAAUUUUAGAAAAACAAAAUACGAUAGAUUAAAUUAUUAAUUUUAAGAAGUUUAAUUAUUAAUAAGAUCCAUAACCUGCUACGCUAAUCAUGCAUUUCAACCUCAACAUUUCGUAGUUAAAUAUUGUUUUUGAUUAUCUAAUCUAUUAAAAGAGGAGUACAAAAUUAGAUUAUCCCUUAGUUUUCCACUAUAUUUACAAUGACAUGCCACUGGAGUUAUUAAUUAACCUACCUUUUAGGAUUUUUGUCUUUUCUCUUCAAUUAAUGUAUUUCCAAAUCAAAUUCUAGCUAAAAAUAAUGGCAACAAUAAUUAAUAAACCUAGAUUUUAGUAUUCUUUGUCUUUUCCUAUUUAAUAUGUGUGUUUUAAAAUAAUUAAUUCCAUAUAUACAUUUCGCAAUUACAUACAUUAUAUGUAAUUAUUUUACUAAUUCUACAUAUACAUAAUAAAUAGUAUACAACAAUUUCAUUAUACAUAAUCAUAAAAUUUUGAUCCAUAAAAACAGUUUAUACAAUAAUUUCAUUAUAUAUAAUCAUAAAAUUUUGAUCCAUAAAAAAUAAAAAUACAUUUGUGUGAUUUUACAGGUCGUAUUCUAAAUAAAUGGAUGAUAUAAUUAAGGGUUUACAUGAUAAAAUAAAACUACUCAAUAUAAACUAUAAAAUUAUUGUGUUUAUAAAUGUCAUAUUAAAAAAAAUUAAACAGGUAAAUUUUAAAAUAUAUAUUAUCACUUAUACAAAUAAAUAUUCAUUUAUCAAAAAACUAACACCUGCGCGGAUGCGCGGGUCAAGCUCUAGUUCAGAUUUAUUUUAGUUAUCAUGAUUACAAUCCUUAAAAUGUAAUAUACUAUAUAGUGUUUGUUCAUUUGUCCUAUCAUACAACAGGAUUCCAAAUAAUUUGUAAGAGAAUCUUAUACUAGGUCUAAAGCUAACAUAGUCCUUUGACCAAAAAGGAAGCUAUCUGGCUCUGAAAGUAAAGGUUGAUUGCUAAACAAGAAAAAAAGCCAAGGGUUGGGCCUCGAAUGAAUCUUGAUUGGGCUUAAAGUGUCAGUUUGGGAAGUCGAUCUACCUAUCUGGUGGAUCGACCGAUUCAUUAUGGUUCAUACCAUGGAAAUGUCAUUACCAUUCAAAGCCUAAAAAUUAUAAUAUAAGAUCAUUAUUAAUACAUGUCUUUUAGGGAGUAUUUCUUAGCUUUUAACUAAAAAAAAUUAAGAAACAUCUUCUAAAAAACAUCAGUCGGGUUCUUAAGAGAUGUUUCUUAGCUUUUUUUUAGUUAAAAGAUAAGAGACGUUUCUUAUAUUCGCUAAGUGACUCUCUAUAAUAAACAUGCAUUAAUCAUGCCCUAAGUCACCAUGUAGUUUUGGAUAUUGACUACGAACAUUAAAUACUCUCUCCACAUAAAAAAACAUACUCUCUCCAUAUUUUUGUAUUUGACGUUUUUCAGUUUUGCACAAACAUUAAGAAAACUGAUAAAAUUUCUAUUUUAAACUUUUCAAUUGUUUUAGAUUAGCUUUUUAGUCAUAAAGAUGCUAAAAUUCACGUUAAUAUUACAAGGAUAGAAACAUCAACUUCUAUCAUUAUUUGCAUUGGACUCCGUAAACGUCAAGUAUAUUGACACAAAAAAAAUCACUAGAACGUCAACUAUUUCCGAACGGAGGGAGUAUUAAUCAUGCGUCGUUUUUUAAAUUAUCAAAUUCCAAUGCUUUUUAAUCAAUAGUUUUUUUAAUAAAUCCAAUUAUUUUUAUUAAAAAUUGCAAUUUUUGUAUAGGAAACAUAAAAAAUAUAUCUUUGUGAAUCAAAAAAUUUCUCUAAAAUUUUUAUCUUAAUGAAACUGAGAUAGUAACUUUUAACCUUUUGUACUGUGUGUUAAAUUCAAGCUUGUCCCAUUUCCCAAAAAAAAAACAUUUAAUAACUUUAAAUAAGCAAGAGAACACAAGCUUAAGAUGCAAAUAUAGAAAUGACAUUAUAAAAACAUGACAAUAACCCGAAAGUCACAAGACCUAUAAAGAUCGCCGCACAACACAAAACACAAAGACAACAACACAAACAAAGUUUUAAGCAAGCAUUACACAACAGUUGAGAAUAUAAUGGUUAAGACUACCACCACGACAACAAAUCUCCUCCCAAUGAAUCUCUUCCAUGUCUGGAGAUGGACAAGACUUGUAGAUCCCCCGUUUCCGAGAGUGAAGUCUAUUGAACGAAGCUCCAAUCAGCAUAAGAUUAUCUUUAACCGACUUAAAUACAACACCCCAACCUUUAGUUACAUGUGCCAUCACAGGUAUAGUUCCAAGCUUCUUCGAAGUGUUUGUGUUUACAUUAUACACGCGAAGCUCAUUCAAUGAUGUAUCCAGCAAGUAGAGAGUAUCAUUGACCACCGCAAUACGCGGAGGCGCUUGGGAAAUGGAUAAAGACAUGUCUGCAAGCAUAUUUGGUAUCAACUCCCAAGAAUUUGUUUCCUCAUCGUAACUUUCUGCACAAGUUAGGUUUUCGUCGUUUUCAUUCUGACCGCCGAUAACAUAAAACUUACCACGCAAGAAGCAUCCGGAACACAACUUCCUCCGCCUAUGCAUUGGAGGAAUGGAUGCCCAUGUUUUUGUUUCGGUAUUGUACUUUUCUACUAUGCUUACAACCUCAACCCCAUUUUUACUUAUCGUAAAUCCGCCGGCGAAAAAGGCAUUUGUCCCGUGGCUUGCGGAAGCAAACAUGACUCUCGGUGUAAUCAUCUCAGGACCUUUGAACCAUUUGUGCAUUGCAAGCUCGUAACGCCACACCCUAAUGCCCUCCUCAGAUCUCCAGAUGACGAUUAGUUGCGUACCCACACAAGUAGUUUCCUUAUCACCACUGAAAAAACUAACGCCAGAAGAGAGCUUUGGAAGUCUCUGGGAAGUUUUGAAGUCCUCAUCAUACAUAGUCCAACGCCUAUCACUUCUUGACAGCAUAAAAAAGUACGGUUUCACAAGUCCGAGCUCUCGCCUCGUUCGGAAAAUUUCACUACUUUUCAGCAACUGUGAAAACUGUUUGUUGAGAAAUUGUAGUUUCCAAUACUCAGGGCAUGGAACACGGGCAAAAAUCUCGACCUGAAGCUCGUACAAGAGCUGUGGAGCAACAUGGUAUGCAUUUUGAGAUGUUAAACAUGCAAGGCUUUGAGCUAUUUCUUUUGUUUCUCCAAUUUCCUCUCCUUCUGACGCAGAAGAGGAAUCAUCAUACAUAUCGAGGAUAAUAGGAAUAGUACCAACGAUCAGAAUCAUUGGUUUAGAUUGGCUUAAAAUUGACAUAACUAUCUGUAACAGACCAAAAGAAAAAAAAAUGUUUAUGGUGUUAUUUGCAAAAGAAUUAAUAUAGCAUUUUCAACAUACACGACUAUACUUUUGGUGUUAAAGUUAUCAAUAAUAUGCUCAAUAAUGUGUAUUAGAAUUUGCGCAUAUGAAACGUACAAAAUCAAAAAAAAUCUUAUGGAGAUGUGCAAUGUCAUGUUAGGGUGAAAUUUAGACAAUAUUACAAUCAAUAGACAAAAAAGUUUCCAAUACAUAGAAAUUAUAGACAACGACAUACGAACAUUAUACCACGUUGACAACACUUUUUUUAAUUCCAAGAAGAUGUAUAUUAUAAUUAUUUAACAAGAUAGCGAACCGAAAAAAAAAACAAAACAAAAAGUGAUAUGCCUACAAUCAGUACUGCCUACAAUGAGACAUCAGACACUAUCCGCCUAAACAAACUUGAAAACUAUUGCAUUGGUAUUUAAUGUUUUAUAUUAAAAUGAAAACUUUAGAAAUGCUAAACCAAUUUCUUGUUUCGCUUCAUUGUUAUAAAGCAUUUCCUGUUGAUCAAUGAAUCUAAUAUUUCAACAAAAAAAAACUAUUUUAUUAAUUUUUUAUAGUGAACAUACAAAUUAGGGCCUAAAUACCUUGAAUAUAACAAUAAACGUCUUAAAUAUGUAUAAGCUGGUACCUUAUAAAAUGAAAAUGGAUGAUGCUAUUGGAGUUUCGAAUCGCAGUAUAUAUGGUUCGAGUAACAAUAUAAAUUAUCAAACAGAAUACGAGAUUAUAUAGUGUAAGAUUUUACAUUCUUACCAUGACAAUGAUUUUUGACUAGAAAUUUGGUAAUUUAUUAAAGACGAGUUAUUGAUAAAAUAGUUGACCAUUUUAGUUUUUGUCUUUUUGGCUAUAUAUCUUCAAUUCAAGUCAAGCUACGUAAUUAAAGUUAUCAUGUUUACAAAAAAAAGUUGACCAAAUGUUUCAUUUGAGAAUCUGUCAAAAAAAAAAAAAAAGGAACAUAAAGAAGUAACAUAUUGAAUUAAAUAUUAUAGAAAAUAAUGUGGGUGUAUAAUUGACUAAUGUAGAGGACCGUGAGGAAAGAAUUUAGUAAAAGGGGUUGGUUUUUGUCCCAACUGACACAAACCAGAGUUAAAUCUGAUUCAAAGGGGUUGAUUCGCUUUAGAAAGAACUGUCAGCCAAUGGGACAGAGAGGGCUCUGAUUCUGCAAAGGAUUCACACUCUGGUAACAAAGACGCAUAACAUUCUGAAGAUAAUAUGUUGAACAAUCGCAGGGAAAAUUAGAUUCUGAAUAAUGAAAAUAAGGAGCAAAGUGGCCAAGCUGAUGUUCCAGCUGCCAAAAUAUUGUCUGAUGAGUAUAACGAACAUGAUGAAGAUAAUGAAAGUUGUCUAAGACCUUGUCCUUUAACAUCUCUGGUUUGUUACGACUACACACUCUCAUUACUUAGUGUAGGAAAGAUGUGAAUCUUUUGCUAGUGUUAGAAAAUCAUGCAUAUCUGCUUGGUUGGUAUGUUAAACACCGCGGAAUCAGAUCCUGCAGAAAAAAUGCAACAGUGAGUGACCAUGGGGAUACAGCUCUAUGACCAUUUGGUUCAACUUUACUUGAGCUAGGUUUAAGACGGUGACAAUCUAAUUUACCUUUCCUUUGCUGGAAAUGACAUGUUUAGCUGGGAAUUCAACCUUUUUGGGUUUAGUGAUUGUGUCUUCACGUUUAUUCGUUCUUGGCGUUGGUCAUGUCCAAAGGGUCGCUUUCUAAAUACAAUUUGGUAAAACAAAACACCAAUCGACCAUACGUUAACCUCAAGUUUGAACACAAUAUUUUAGAACCAAAAAAAAACUUUAAACUUAUUCUGGUUAAGACAUUACUGACCAGUCGCUAACCUUUGAUGAGAUCACAGGAGUUUUGAAUCGCAAGGACCUGAAAUCCAGAAUUCUCAACUUUGUUAGCUAAACAUUAUAAACAUUUUCACCGAACCAGGCAUCGAAAAACGCCAGAAUCCCCUCCGCGAGAUUAAAAUAAAAGUGUUUAUUCUGUAUUAAACUUGGGCUACUUUACACCAAAUUCAUGUUAAUCUUGUGAUGCAUAUUAUUGCCAAAUUUAUCGCACAGAAGCUGAUAUACAUAUAUGGAUAACGGAUCUAUACGCUUUUUUGUCAACAUACGGAAUUACGGAUCCAUAUGCGUUAAAUCUUGGAAAGACUACAAACAAGGAAAUUUGAUAUAAUAAGAUUAAGUGGGUUUUUCAUACCCUGAAUUAUCUAAGGACCACGCCAUAUCUAUCUGAUAUACUCUUGAGCUUAACGUUAAUUUUGGGUUUCAGUGCUUCAGCCCUAGCUACUAUAGAUGUAUUUGGAUAUCUACGUACUUUGUGGCCUUAUCUUAAUAGACGGCAAUGAAGACCAAAAGCAGUCACUAUUAGUCUGUUAUUGACGGACCUCGCUCAUGUUUGCCGUCAGAGACACGGCACAAGAUCCACCGCCAAAAGGAAAAAGAGUUUUUAAGCUUUUUGCCAUCAAAUUUUUUGCCCUAGUGAAGACAAAAGUUUUGCAGAAUCCACCAAAAUUCUUAGUUGUAUUUUCUAAAUUUGGAGGGUCCCUUACCCACACCAUAUAAUUCCAUAAAUGAAAUAACAUUAAAGCGUAAAAGUGUAAAACUGGAACAUAGCCAUCGGCCUAGCCUCUUGUUCAGUUUCACGCGGUUUCUUCCAUAAUUAGAGCGUAAGCAUGACGAAUAUAACAAUUAAUCUCCACGCCUUUUCUUUUCUAUACCGACUAGGAUAAGACCCGCGCCUUGCGCGGGAUUAAGUUAUUAUUUUUAUUAUAUUUUGGAGAAUGAAACAAUAGUUUGGCUUCAUUUGGAUUACGAGUGUUCAAUCCGAAUAUCGGGUUGGUUUCGGUUCGGUUCAGUUUUUUUUGGUAUUUGGUUAGUAAAAUAUAACUACUAUUCUAAAUCCAUAUUUACUUUGAUUUUAGUUUUUCACAUACUUUUGAAAGAUUUCAACUGGACGACUAAAUUGAUCAGCCAAUCUUAUUGCUUUAAAUCAUUAGUGUAUAUAUAUUAUAUAUAUAUAUAUAUAUUAUUUAGUUUGAAUAUUUAUUAAAUAAAAAUUCAUAUGCGUUAUAUUUUAUGAUCAUUUGUAACUUAUUAUAACAAAAAAAUAAUCUAUUGAUCACAAAAUUUUCAGAGUGGGAAUAUUCAAAUUUCUAAUAAUAUAUAGACGUUUUGAAAAAUUCAAAUAUAACAUAUAAGAAAAAAUAUAAAUGUUUUUAUUAUAUAUUUAAUAUGAUUUUUUAAUAUCUUUCAAUAAUAUAAAAUUAAAAAAAGAACUAAGAUACCAAAAUUGUUAUCAAAUAUUUAUUAUUCAUAAUAAUUAAUUUUCAUAUAUACGUUAAUCAUAUUAGGUAAUUUCGUAGCUUCUAAUUAAGGAAAGUGCAAAAAAAAUUCUGGUAGAUUAUUUAUCAAUUCGAUAGUUAGUUUAAUAAAAAAUAUAAUGUAAGUCAAGAUAGACCAACCUAUUUUUCUAAGAAUAGUAUAUUUUAUAUAGUCAUUUAUUAAAUGAGAAUUUAUAAUCAUACAGUUCUAUGAUCAUUCAUAUCAUUUUAUAACUCAAUAUUUAAAUCAUCGAUAACAAAAUUUUCAAUGUGAAAUCUUUAAUAAGUUUAUAAUUUAUAAAUGUUUUUGAAAAUUCAUUGAAAGUUUUAAUAUUAAAAUAUUUAUGUAAUCUUAUGGUAUAUAGUAUAAUCUAUAUAUAUAUAAAUAUAUAUGUUUUAUUAUUAAAUGAUAUUUUUUACUCAUAUGGUUUUAAAAUAAUGUGUAUCUUCUUAUAAUAUUAAAUAAAAGUUCAUAUUAAUACAAUUUUAUGAUCAUUUGUAACUUAUUAUGACAAAAAAAAUAAUCUAUUGAUCACAAAAUUUUCAGAGUGGGGAUCUUCAAAUUUCUAAUAAUUUAUAGACGUUUUUGAAAAAUUCAAAAUAUAACAUAUAAGAAAAAUUAUAAAUGUUUUUAUUAUAUAUUUAAUGUGAUUUUUAAAUAUAUUUUAAUAAUAUAAAAUUAAAAAAGAACUAAGAUACAAAAAUUGUUAUCAAAUAUUUAUUAUUCAUUAUAAUUAAUUUUCACAUAUACGUUAAUCAUAUUAGGUAAUUUUGUAGCUUUUAUUUAAGGAAAGUGCAAAACAUUUUUUGGUACGUUAUUUAUCAAUUCGAUAGUUAGUUUAAUAAAAAGUGUAAUAUAAGUUAAGAUGGACCAACCUAUUUUUCUAGGAAUAGUAUAUUUUGUAUAGUUAUUUAUUAAAUAAGAAUUUAUAAUCAUACGGUUCUAUGACCGUUCAUAUCGUUUUAUAACAAAAUAUUUAAAUCAUCGAUAACAAAAUUUUCAAUCUGAAAUCUUUAAUAAGUUUAUAAUUUAUAAAUGUUCUUGAAAAUUCAUUGAAAGUUUUAAUAUUAAAAUAUUUAUGUAAUCUUAUGGUAUAUAGUGUUUAAUAUAUAUAUAUAUUUAUUUAUUUUAUUAUUAAAUAAUAUUUUUUACUCAUAUGGUUUUAAAAUCAUGUGUAUCUUCUUAUAAUAAAAAUGUUAAACCAUUGAUCAUUAAUUUUUAACAUAAUAAUUUUAAUAGUUUUAGUCAUUUAUUGUCGUUUUUAAAAAUUCAAAAUAUAACAUAUACGAAAAAAUCUAAAUUUUAUUUUUAUAGCUAAUUUGAUUGUUUAAUUUAUUUUAAUAAUAUAAAAUUAAACAAAAAAUGAUGGAGGAGAUAUACAUUGUUAUCAAAUCUUUAUUAUUAAACUCAUUAAUUGUCAUAUAUAUAUUAGUCAUUUAUGGUAAUUUCGUAGGUUUUAUUUAAGGAAAGAAAAUAUCAUAUCAUAUCAUUAUAUCAUAUAGUUUGACCAACUUAUAUAUCUAACAACAUAUAAAAAUCGAAUGUGGACCUACUUAUUUUUCAAUUGAAUGUAAUUGACUACCUAAUUGAGUGUCACCUAUGCAUUGGGGCCUCUUUUAAUUAAUACAAAAUUGAGGUUACAUCUUUUCAAAUGUUCCUCCCUUAAUAUAUAAGGGAUCAGUUCCCAUACAAAAUUGGAUAUAUAAACGUACAGUGUGCAACAUAAUGAAAUUACGGGGAAUAAAUAUUACUAGGAUGAGACCCACGCUUUGCGUGGGAUGAUAAAGAAAUAAAAAUCAUAUAUUCAAAGUAGUAUCGUCCAAUCCGGAUAUUGGUCUGGUCUCGGUUCAGUAUUUUGAUAUUUUGGUUUAUAAAAGUUAGAUACCAUAUUAAAAUCAUACUCUGUUUUGGUUUGGUUCAGUUUAUAUACUGUCUAUUUUUGGUUUGUCCAAUUUUAGUCUGGUUUCGGCUUGGUUUUUCGAUUUUUUGGUUUAUAAAAAUUUAAAAUAAAAUUUAUUUUGAUUUGGUUCGGUUUAUAUACUGUCGGUUUUUGGUUUAUUCAAUUUUAUACCAAAAAAAACUAUAUUUAUCUUCUAUUACAUUUUGUCAAUUUAAUUUUGUAUGAUUAAAAAUCAAAUUUAUUAAAUACUACUCUAAUUUUUAAUAGAAGGUUUUUGUAUUAUAUUUAACUAUUAAAAAUAACUGUUAAAUAAAUUAUAGUUAUUGCAUAUUUAUAAGAAGAAAAGAAAAAUGAUUAAUAAUAUACUAAUUUUAAAACAAAUAUAUGUCAAUUAUUCAUAUUAACGUCUUAAAUAUCAAGAUCAUAUAAAUAAAAUAAACUACAUGUAUAUAAUUAUAUUAUGCAAUUUAUAUAAAACUAUACUACUAUAUUUUAAUUAAUCAGUUUCUUCGGUUUAUAUGGUGUGAUCGACUUAUAUAAUGAACCAUAUCUAUAUACCACGGUUUCUAAAAAUAACAUCUAUUCGGUUUAUAUGGUGUUAUCAAAUCAAACUAAUUUUUCUAUUUCGAUUUGAUUGGGUUUUAGUUGGUCCGGUUUUGACUGAAUUGAAUACCCUUAAUUCAAAUUAUUAAAUCGUAGAUAGUUUGCAAACAUGUUUCUUGUACUACAAUAAAAAUCCUCUCUAUCAAAAUCAGAUAGUUGGUCAUGUUUUUGCAUUUUAAAUAUAAUACGAAAUAUUGUAGAUAGGUCACGUUUUUGCAUCUUAAAUAUAAUUUUCCAUAUUUACCUCAUAUUGAGUUGUGAAGGGGCAUAGCUACUUUUGUGUCAAAUGCAACACUUAUAAUCCUGCAGUAGAAAGCGGUGGCUCUUUGAUUUCUUUAACAUAUAUUUUCAAUACAAACAUGGUACCUACCUAACAUUACGGUCGUUAAAUUUCACCAUUAACUACUAAGAUUUGCAUUUAUUAAUAAUUUACCUUAGUUUCCAAAUAAAUAUAAUUAAUAUUUGUCUUGGUGAUAAAGAUUUUCCUUAAUCCCCUAUUACCGAACUGUCAAGUUUAGUAUAUUUGAUAUUUAUUAUUCAUUGCAUUAAUUUAAGAAUUUGUGGGUUGUUUCUUUUACUAAACCAAUCUCACAUUAAUAUCCCCAGUUACUCCAUUAAAUAAUUUUUUUUUCUCAUGCUCGGUAUCAAAACCGUAAGCUGGCGUAAUGUGCCUCUAAUAUUCAAUAUAUCCUAGCGAAAUUAUUACAUAGCUUUUGGACCGAUUUUUUUUUUUCAAUUGAAUAUGGAGCUGCCACAUCAUACUAAUUGAUAUGCUAAUUAACUGACAACUAAGCUGGAUACUUUUUUAAUUAAUACAAAAUAUAGGUUAUAACUUUUCAAAUGUUCCUCUAUUAAUAUAUAGGGGAUAUUAAAGAGAGUACUACUUUCUCAUAGUAAUUUUGCUUUCAGGAGAACGUGGUAGGAUCUCAAAGUGGGUUAAUCAGUUAAUCUUCUUUCAUACUAGUAUAUUACUCUAAGAACUCUAUCGGAACACUAAAUAUAUGCCUUCACUUGGAUGAUCUAGUUCUGGAGAAUGACAAUGUCUUUUUCAACAUAAUGUUCCAAACUAGUGAAGAGGACAUACAUCCCUAUAGAUUAAUUAGCCUGCUUUCUCUACUCACAUAGAUAAGUUUAUGAGGAUCAAGCAAAAGUUUUCUUCAUUCUGCUUUUCUUAUUUCAACGCAAUUUUGACACCAAAAUCGAUUGUUUAGCAUAUAGUGUUAUGUUAUAUUCUUAUGAUAUCACCUUUCUAGAACCAUAUGCACCACUAGUUUGGGAUUAUGAAACAUUUUAAUUUAUUUUUAUGUAUCUUGACAAAAAACCUUGCUAAUUUUGGAUUAGAACGAGAAUAUAUUAAUGUAUUUAUAUUAAUUCUAAGAAUACUUCUUUUCAGUCAAUGAGCAUACAUGAGAAAUAAUUCUGCUAAUUUACUAGCUAGGUUCUGGUUCGGUUUAUUAGUAAGUACACGUCCACUUUAGGUAAUGAUAAAUCUUUAAUUUUGUGGGGGCAAGUUAGUUCUUAGACUUUAUCCAUGUUAAAAUAGGUCAGUGUGGAAUUAGGACCACGCCAUAUCUAUCUGAUAUAUGCUUGAGUUUACUUCUAUUUUUGGUUUCAAAUUUUCAUAUACAUGUAUCUGGAUAUAUACGUAUGUGUACACCUUAUCUCAUAAAGGAAAAGAGAAAGCCAAAACCCAUCAAUGUUAUACUUAUAGAUAGGCCAUUCUUACAUUUGCCGUCAGAGCCACGGCAUAAUCCACCGUCAAACAAAAAGAGACAGUUUAAACGCCUUUUCCCAUUAAAUUUAGCACACAUCGAUACACAAAUUUUGCAGAAACCUCCAAAACUCUUCUUUUUUCUUUCAUAUAUUCAUAGGGUCCCUUGCCCACAAAUAUAAUUACGAAAAUGAUAUGGUAACCACAUUAAAGCGUAAAAAGAGAAAACGCUGUAUUCUAGCCAUCGGCCUCUUGUUCAAUUUUACGUGGUUUCUUCAAUAAUUAUGGAGACUCAAAGCUUCUAAGAGUAUGUCACUCAACCGCAGCAUAUUUUGUUUUCUCUACACCUUAUAACAGUUAGAUCAUUCCCAAUAUGUUAUGGUUAGUGGUUACCAUUUGAGUUGGAUUACCUAUCACCGUCUAUCCAAUUAUCCAAAUACGACACUUGUGACAUUUUUUUAUAUUACAGCUAGACAAAAACUUCUAAGUAUACAAAUGAACUCAAAAGCUGUAUAUAUAUAAAUUAUAUGCUCAUAAAUUUAAACUAUUCUAAGUACUUUAGAAGAAGUGAACCAGGUUUUUACUGAUUAAAUGAAUUAGAAAUAUAUUUUUUUUAAUCACAAAGGGUAUAUUUGUUUCAAAAAAAAUAAAAAAAUCACAAAGGGUAUAUAAAAGCGAUAAAUGUAAACAUGUUGCAGCAAGUACGUAGGAGCAGCAAGAAUGACAUCUUAUCUAAAAAUGAUAGACUAUCGCUAUUUAGGUUUUGGAUUUUGGAAGAAAGAAGAAUGAAGAAGCUAGCUGAGUUUUGAAAACUCUUUGAUUAUGUCCAAAACUUGCAUUUAAUUCAUAAAGUUGUUACUGCUGUCUUUUUUUCUUGUCCUUCGGAUUGAAUUCAAUCUUACUCAAAGCAAAUACAUUCUUUAUCCAAUUAUUUUAUGACAUUUACAAAGUCGAAUAUUAACAUAAUUUGAUCUAGAAAACCCUUUCUCAAAAAAAAAAACCAUAAUUUAAUUUAGUAUAUAACUAUUAAAUAGUAGUUUAAAGUUUUAUAUUAUCAUGCAAAAAAAUAUUUAGAUAAAUAUUUUUUCUCUGCUUCAUUAUUAAUUUAUUAUACUAACCGCUAUAACGCUCUAAUAUACAUCCAUCAAAUAUACCAUUUUGAAACAAAUAAUUGAGAAUAAUAUGGUCCAUGCAACUCCUAUAUAAACAUAGAGUAAUCCAUCUUCCAAUACAACAUCCAAACACAAAAAUAGUUCCACUUCUAAGCCCUAACUCCACAAGGAACACAAAACCCAUUGAUAAAAAUGGCUGAUAUCCAAAAUACCAUUUUCGUCUUCCGACCAGACCAGCAGAAUCUGGCACCUAAACCUCUGACUCCAUUCUCUGCCGUGACCCCUCACCGUGCUACGGCCUCACGAGCACGCCGCCUCAUCUCUACCACAACCCUCGAAAUGAUUAUUGAAGAAGAUACCGCACCGGAAGAAGAUCAUCCUAGCACUGUCGCUGCGAGGGACACUCUUCCGGUAUUUCCAUCGACCUCCUGUUUCUUGAUGGCCAAUAAACAAGUCUCUUUCAUGUUAUACGAAAGCUGCAAGUGCCCUUGAUGAUUUUCGCUACAAACCGACUGAAAAAUGGUGUUUUUUUUCUUGUACUAGUCAAGUUAGUAAUAUUUGAUGUCAGUUAUGGUCGAUGCUUUGUUUUUACAGAAGUUUAUUUUCUGUUAUACGGAAGCUGCAAGUGCCCUGGAUGUUUUUUCACCACAAAGCAAUUAUGGUGUUUUUUUUUUACUUUUCUUGUAAUAAUCAAGUUAGUGAUGUCUGAUGUUCGAUAGUGCAUGGUGAUAUGUUUUAAUAGAAGUUGAAUCAACUUUCUCCGCUUUUACAGUUUCCACAGGAAUACAAGUAUGCCAAAUUGCCAACCACAUUAAUUUGAAAACUAUUCCAAACAUGUCCAACAGGAUAUCUCACACAUGAGAGAAAAUGAGAGCCGAUUGAUUUUCGGUUUUUAAUCAUCAAAAACUCUUAUGCAAUUUCUACAUUCAUGAUUGGUUCAAUUUUCUUAUAUAAGAAUACAUCUAGUGCAGGUAACACAAGUAUGUAGAGGAGUAUUUCAAAAACUAAUAAAAUAAAAAUAAAAAUAUAUAAAUUGAUAGAGUAUCUCAUGAGUUAUUUUUGCAAGAGUUUCUCAACUGUACAAUUUGUAUAUUGUUCUUUUUAUUUUAUAAUUUUCAAAAUAUUAUUUAAAAUAUUUGCAUAAGAUAUUCAUAACAUUUGUAUAAUAUUAUAUUUGUGAGAUACUUUUUUAGAAUAUCUUACUGUCAAAAGUGUAUUUAUUGGUUUCAGUUUCAAAACCAAAUAAAAAAAUUGGGUGCAUUAACAUUUUUCCUGAUUACAAAAUUUUAUUUAUAGGUUACUAGUUGCAUGCUUAUGUUAUUCGGGAAAAAUAAUUGAUAAUUUACCUUUUUAAACUAGCGCUAUUACAAAUUAUGAAAAAUAUUAAAAUAAUUAUAUUUAUUUUAUGUGUAUUUACAUAAAUGGACCACUUUGAACUGUUAACGGUUCUAUUUGCACAUUAAUGCUGAAAAUCUUAUAUAUGUUUUUGUCUCUAUUAAUUUGUAUGAUUAUUAAUAAAAUAAAAAAUGUAUUUAUUAAUUUGCUUAUCAAAAGUUUAUAAACUUGGAUGAACAAUAAUACCCUUGUAACUUGGGCUUCAUCCCUUUUCAUGCAGCCCAUAAGCUAUUUAUAAGGUCUAUUAUGUUGGCAAAAUAAUGUUUUUGACAGAAAAUUACUAAUAAAAAUAAAAAAUAAUUUAAUUUUAAUUAUAAAUAGAUUAAUAUUUAUUAUUUAUAAUAAAAAAUAUUUAAAAUAUUAAAUUUUAUUGUUAUUUUUAAUAAAAAAAUAUUUAAAAUAUUAAAUUUUAUUGUUAUUUUAAUAAAAAAUAUUUAAAUUAAUAAUUUUUAAUAUUAUUAAUAUUAUCCGCGGGUCUAGCGGAUCACCCGCGGGUUUUAGCGGGGCGGGUGCGGAUUUCAUAUUUUCUUCUUACGGGUCAAACGGGUCAAAUUUUUUGAGUAAAAAAAAUCAGUUUACCCGCAGGUUGGCGGGUCAGCGGGGCGGGUUUGACCCGCAACCCAGCUCUACUUACCUGUUCCAAAAGAGACAAGACCGUAUGUGUAUGUCAUCAGGACCGAACUUUCAGUUUCUGUUUACAUAACGUUUUAACUUGUAACGUUUAUGGGCUUAGCUAGCCUUACUUAGGAGCUGUUUUGUAGUUAUAAUAAUAUUUCAGUUCUAUUUUGCAAAUUUAUUAGAGUUAGGUACCGGAUUGCAAAUUUAAUCUUCGUUUCUAAAACCCUAAAUCUCUCUCUCUCUGGAUUCAGACAGCUUCAAUGGCGUCUUUUGAGCGUUUCGACGACAUGUGCGACCUGAGACUGAAGCCCAAGAUUCUCAGAAACCUUCUCUCCGAGUACGUCCCGAACGAGAAGCAGCCUCUCGUCGACUUUCAAUCACUCUCCAAGGUCGUAUCAACCAUCUCCACCCACAAGCUGUUAUCCGAGUCUCCGUCGUCUUCAGCUGACCAGAAGAAGAUUCAAGCUAAGCCUUCCAAAUCAGCCGUUGAUGAGUGGGUCGAGAGGUUGUUGGCUCUGGUUUCUUCAGACAUGGUACAGACAGACUCUCUGUCUUUAAACAGUAAAUUAAUAAAGAGGAAAGGUGUCGACUUUGGUGUUUGAAAUGAUGGUUUAUUGAUGUAGCCAGAUAAAUGCUGGGUGGGUGUCGUUUUGAUUGGAGUAACUUGCCGAGAGUGCUGCUCUGAUCGUUUCUUUAGCUCAUACUCUGUUUGGUUCAACAGCUUACUAUCGCAUAUUAAGGUAUGUGUGUAUAUGUUUUGCUCUCUGGUGAGAUUUGAGUGUUUGUAUUCAGUUAUUCUGACUUUUUUGUAUUUUGUUUGAAAGCAGAAUCCAGAAAGUUCUAGAAUUGUUCUAGUGGCUUCAUGUACUUCAGUCUCUGAUCUCCUUACAAGGUCUGUAAUUGAAUUAUGUCUUGUCAUCAUUUACACUGGAAAAGCUGUGUAGAUCAGAUUGUUAUACCAUUUUUUUUUAUUUUGUGUGUGUGUGUGUGUUCUACGUUAACUCUUUAAGUUUGCUCUUCAAGUUUUUUUGUAAAUCUAAGCUGUUUUUUUUUAAUUGGAAUCAGGCUGUCUAGAUUCACUAAUACAAAGAAAGAAGCAGUUUCACACGCUUCGAAAGUAGUCCUGCCGAUUAUUAAACUAUUAGAGGAAGAAUCUUCAGAAGCACUAUGGGUAAGUUUCAUAUUUAAGAAGACAUUGAACUUUCUCUUUUAGCAAAUGUUAGUUCUGCUCUAAUCAUGUCAUUGCUGCAAUACUCAGUUUUUGUUUUUUUUUUUGGUAUUGGAUGUGCAGGAAAGCAUUGUGCAUCUGCUGAGUACAAUUGUUAUCUUGUUUCCUGCUGCCUUCCACAGUAGUUAUGACAAGGUGAGAUGUCUUCGCUUCUCAGAUGUAUUUUAUUUGUAUCGGUAUUUUGAUAACUACAUGACAAUUCAUACUCUAAUGAAUAUACGCACAUAUUAUGCUUAGGUGGUAACAUUAUGAUUUGUAAAAGGUCUGGUAAUUUGAUAGCUUUUGUAUCACUGUUUUAUUGAGUCUAUUUGAAAUGAUAUUCCUUGCAGGUUGAAUCCGUUAUUGCCUCCAAAAUAUUUUCUACGAAAACCAGUUCUAAUAUGUUAAAGGUAUUCACCGUUUUAUACAUUCACUAAUUCACAAUUUCCAUCAACAAAGUAAAUAUUAUUAUAUUAACCACGCCCACUUUUCUAUCUCAACCUUUCAGAAAUUUGCUCACUUUCUAGCAUUACUCCCAAAAGCUAAUAAAGGAGAUGCAGGCAGCUGGUCCUUGAUGAUGCAGAAGCUGUUGAUAUCUAUUAACGUUCAUUUAAAUAAUUUUUUCCAAGGUUUAGAAGAUGGUAAUUUUCUUACUUCCCUUGUUCCUUUUUUUUGUCUGCGGCUAUAUAGUUUCUCUGAUAGAACACUGUGGCAUUUAUCACAGAAACAGUAGGGAAAAAAGCGAUCCAAAGAUUGGCUCCUCCUGGAAAAGACUCUCCUUUGCCUUUGGGAGGUCAAGAUGGGGGCUUGGAUGAUGCAUCGUUGAACUCUGAGGAGUUUAUUGUUUCCAGAGUUUCUGCACUUAUGUUCUGCUGCUCAACAAUGCUAACUAGCUCGUUCAAAUCCAAGGUAGUGUGUGCUUCUUCUCCCUUGAUGUGUGCUAUCCAAAAAAUGUAAUUUGCUUCUGAAAAAUGCUGAUAUUCUUUUCUCUCAACCUUCAGCUUAAUGUUCAAGUUGCCUCAUUAUUAUCCCUCGUUGAGCGAGUGUUGGCGGUGAAUGGCUCUCUACCACGAUCCAUGUCACCUUUCAUGACAGGGAUCCAACAAGAAUUGGUUUGUGCAGAGCUUCCUACUUUGCAUUCUUCGGCGCUGGAACUCUUGCGCGCUACUAUAAAGUGCAUACGCAGGUAAUUGAAGAGUUAAUCCUUUGGUAGUUUAUGUCUUGGUUUGUUACUACUUAACAACAUCCUUGUGUUGAUUCAUUUUGCAGCCAACUUUUACCAUACGCUGCAUCUGUGGUGAGCGUUGUUAGUAGUUACUUCAAGAAAUGUUCAUUGCCAGAACUGAGGAUAAAGCUCUACUCAAUCAUUAAAACCUUGCUCAAAUCCAUGGGUGUAGGUAAUUUCAUAAGAUCUUCCCUUUGCUUGCAUUUUCAUUUCUCAGCUUGAGGUGAUGAAAAUAAAGAUCCUCCCUGACCAGGAAUGGCAAUGCAGCUGGCAAAUGAAGUUGUAUCUAAUGCCUCUGUGGAUCUAGAAGGAUUUGAUGCGGUAUCUAGCAAAACCCCAUCGCUUACAAAUGGUGCUGUUCUCAAGGGUGGCAGUAAAAAAAGGAAGCAUGCAUCUAAUUCCGGAGCCCAGGCAGAGAACUCUGCUGUUGAAGUGGGCGUCCCUCACAAUCACUCGUUGAAGAUAGCAGCUCUUGAGGCACUAGAAACUCUUCUCACCAUCGUAAGCUUCUUUUUAACUUAUUACUGUUGAUAGUUUAGUAUGAAGUUAGACUCUGUGGUUUGUUUAGUUAGUUACCUGAAUCAAACAUUCUUCUUUUCUUAUGGCUUUUAGGGUGGUGCAUUGGGAUCUAAUGGCUGGAGAGAACGUGUUGAUAAGCUUCUAAUGACCACAGCAAAAAAUGCUUGUGAAGGGAGAUGGGCUAAUUCUGAAACCUACCAUCAUUUACCCAAUAAGUCUUCAACUGAUCUUGUUGAGUUUAAGCUUGCAGCACUCCGUUCGUUUUUGGCAUCUCUCGUUUCUCCAUCACCAGUACGCCCUGCAUUUUUAGCUGAAGGACUUGAGCUUUUCCAAAGAGGUAACUAAAGAUUGUUGGCUUUGAAUUAAACUAUAAGCUUUUAAAGCCAAGAAACUGAUGCAUAUACUGUGGACGACAGGUAAGUGUCAGGCGGAGAUGAAAGUUGCUGAGUUCUGUGCUCACGCUCUCAUGUCUCUUGAAGUUGUCAUACAUCCGAGGGCACUUCCACUUGACGGUCUCCCAUCACUGAGCAGCCAGUUCCCUCAAAGCGAUUCUCUGGCUAGCCAAAAACACAACGCACCUGGUCUGAAUAAGAUGGACCGUAUUGCUGGAGAUGGCAGUGUUCUAUCCAACUUAUGGCUGGCAAACGUGGAUGUUCCAGCUAAUAGCGAGAUUGAGAGAACCGUAGACACGACUCUACCUCUCCCGGAGGCCAAAAGGUUGAAAGUUGGGAACGAUUUGGUUGGAUCAGAGAAUGUUCAACAUGCUGAUGUGCUUAUAAAGGUUCCUGAAUCAACUAAGGAAUCUCUAGUGCAUGUUUCAGAGAGAGAUGAUGAUAUGGUUCCCAAAGUAGUGAGUGAGACUCAAGAGGGAGAGAGUUUAGCGGGUAAGGAUAGUUUGAUGGAGGAAGCAGCAGUUGGUAAGAAGCAUGAAUCCUUAGGUGAAUCUGAUGAUGAUUCUAUUCCAAGUCUUAAGGCGGAUGAUUAUCUUUCUUCUGAUUCUGAUAUUGAAUCUUAAUGCAAGUCAAAAAUUCAUAAAUCUGUCUUAAGAGUAUCUUUUUUGUUUCUAAAGUUGUAGUUUUAUCAUCUUGAUGUUGUUAACAUAUAUGUUGUAAACAACUUUGAUAUUUUCAUAAAACAAGUUAAAACCAAACUUUCUUCUUUGUAGUCCCUGGUUAUUUAAUCCUAUUUUUACAGAAUCAUACAAUCUUUCUUAUAUCUUCUCGCCUCACCAUGCCAUUUUGUCAUAUCUUGAUUUGAGUGGCAAUCACCUCAGUGGUUUCUUCAAAAUCCUUAGUAACCAUUUUGAAGCAGAGAUCAUAGGUACUGUUAAACUUAAGUCAAUCUCAAAUAUCUCAGCCUCUCUUCCAUACGGAUAAGCCAACUAAGUCUUGACACUCUCUACAAUCUUUGUUAUACCUUGCUCUUUGUGCGCAAGCUUCUUUCUAGGUUUUUUGCCCCUUGGCCAUAUAAACAAAGUUGAUGUAAUCCUUAUCCCUUAAGUUGAAAGAUCAAUAAAGGUUUUCUUAUUUAAAAACAAACCUCCAAGGAGAGAUUCCAGGAUCUAUUUGACGUUGAUUGCUCUCACCAUAUGAAACAAAACGCAUUCACAGGACAUCAGAAUGUCUUUCACUAACGUGACUGGAGCUUGAUUCUGUACUUCUUUUCUUACAAUUUAGCCAAUCUCUUCCUCAAGCUUAUACGCAUGAUGCAAUGAUUCAAACCUUUAUUAAUACUCUGGAAGCCUUUACAGGCUUUCUAUGUUCAAACCACUCAAAGAUAAUUUAAUGAGACAUUUGGUAAAUUUGACUCAUACAUGAGAUAUAAAGAGAACACUGUAUGGCAUAAGCAUCAGAAUUAUUCAGAUAUCACAAAUCCAAAACAUAGGAAACUCAAAUAAUCAAAAUAGAGAGAAACACAAAAAGGCCAUCCUUGAGCUCUUUACUCCAUCCUCCUGCAUUUUCAAAAAAGACCCAACAAAAGGAGUCAGUUACAUACAAAAGUUAUAGAGUAUCAAAAAAGUUGAGAAUCAAUUAAUGAUACUCACAGAUUUUGUUGAAGGCAACAAUAUCACAGCUCUGGACAAACUCAUUGAUGGGUUCGACGGUGAGCUGCUCUUCAAUCAUAGUGUCAACAGACACAAGGUCAUCAACAAUUGUGCACAUAAUCUGCAACUUCUUGAUACCGUAACCAACUGGGACGAGCUUUGACGCUCCCCAGAAUAAUCCUUCCAUCUGGAUGGAUCUCACAGCUUCCUCUAGCUUCUUCAUGUCGGUCUCAUCAUCCCAUGGCUUGAUAUCAAUCAAAACUGAUGACUUUCCAGCUGAUAAAGAAAAAAUACAAGCCAGUUAGAACACAAGACAUAUCAGCAUAUGUAAUUAACAAAUGUAAAGACAGAACAUCAAACUUACAUUCCUUCUUCUUAGUAGAUGCCUUCACGGAAGCAGCUCUCUCUUCAGCAGCUUUCUUCUCCUCUUCGGUCUCCUCUCCGAAAAGGUCAACAUCAUCAUCGUCUUCCUCAUCAGCAGCAUCCUGAUAAAUCCCAAACUCCCAUGAGACUCGCUGAUUUACAAUCACAAGAGACAUAACGAGAUCUAAAAUAGAAACAAUCUGAGCAUACCUUAGAAUCAGCUGCUGGUGGAGUAGCAACAGCCUCUUCAGCGACUGGGGCUGAUCCCUCAACAACGACACCGCUUCCUUCAGCAGUGACACCACUACAAAACACAAAAGCAAACAUUAGAUGACUCCAACCAACAACAAACAAACCAUAACGAAGUGAGAACCAAUGACGAAGCUUACGAGAUCCUCAGGAGGGCAUCGAUGUGGUUGUACCAACGAGAAGCGUUGACAUACUGUGAAGAUGGGGGCUUUGCAAGUGCUGUGAAGACAGUGAUGUCAUCCUUUGAAGCCUGGUACCUGUAACACAAACACAAACCGUUAGUCUCAUAGUUUCGAACAAAGGUAGAGACUUUAGGAUCUAAUCUUGUUAGAAAAGUUAACAGAAUCUUACCCAGUGAUGUAACUGCGUGUGAGGAGAUGCUCAUCGAGCUUCUUCAAUCCGGAAUCAGAGUUAAGGUUUGGGAAAGCUGCCAUUGUGUUUCUAAAGCUCGAGUCUAUUUUUUCACUGAAUAUAAAGCAGAUCGGAACAGAUCAGAACAGCAAACUUUAUGUUGGAAAAAAAAACACGAACAGGGGAUUCAUUCAGACAUUAGCUCAGAACAGGAAGCAGACAAGACAUGGCGCAUUGGUCUAGGUUUCGUGAUUCAACAAGGUUAUGUUUGAUAAAUACGUAAAUUUUGAAUUUCCAGUCAAAUACUAAUAGAAAGAUAUAUACUUUGAGAUCAAACAAAGCUAGCAGUAGUCGCAAAAACAACUAUAACGAUGAAAAUCGAAGAAGAAGAGCAUACCUGGAGUUGCAAGGGAGGACUUGAAGAAGAUUGAGUGAGGCGGACGAGGGAUGCUGGAAUGUAUAUAACGCCUCUAGGUUUUCUUGUACUGGGCUUAUGUUGGGCCCAAUUAAUACCUCUCUGUGAGGCCUUUUUAGAUACUCGGGUGUUUACUUUUGUUCAAUGUUUUCAUAUCGCCGGUUUUGGUCACGGUAGUAUUUUGUCGCUUCUGUGAUUUAAAAUCUUUAGAUGUAAUUAAUGGAGAGAAACUACAUAAGCGCAUCUCUAAUCUAUGAUAUUCUCAAACAAAAAAAAAAGAUAUUUUAACAUAAUUAAUUUUAUAUGUUAAUUUUUCAAAGAGUUAAACCAGUGUCUGAUUGGCAAAUGUCUCAAAAACAAUCAUAAAAUUUCUCAGUUUUCAUUUAAUAAUUUUAUUCUCUCAAUUCUUUAUUAUUAAUAUUUUAAUCAUAUAAUUUGUUUCCUAAGUACAUCAUUGAAGAUGUUCUAACACAUCAUCUUCUUCCUUAUAUUCACUAGGGGCAUAGCCCCCGUGCAAGCGCGGAGCCAGGUACGUUAUUGGUGCGUUGUGUAGUUUCGUGUACGGCAUUUUGUUAUUUAUUUUUUAACUUUUGUUUUUCCGUGUUGUAUAUAAUGGUGAUGAAUAUAACAUUCGAAGUCACACAGCUUAAUUAGGUUGAUAUAAUAAUGACCGGUGAAUUCAUGUGUUGAUAUUUUCAUAUUUUAUUUUCGUAAUGAUUUGAUCGACCAUUACCGUUAUUAACGCUUUCAUAUUCAAAAGCUGAGGUCUAUGAAGUUGGUUAGUGUUUAUUUAGGUAGUUGUUAGUAUAGAAAAAAUAGUAUAAAAAAAUAUAAAAUUUGGAUUUAAAAAUUUAAGAAGGUAGAUAUAGGGGUGUUCAAUCCAGAUAUCGAUUCGAUUUUGGUUUAGGUUUUUCAGUUUUCCGGUAUUUCAUUUUUGUUUAAAUAGCUAUCAUAUUAAAUCUAUAUUUAGUUUGGUUUGAUUUGGUUUAUAUACCAUUGUUUUUUUUUUUAGUUUUAUACCAAAAUACAAUAUAUAUAUAUAUAUAUAUAUAUAUAUGAUUUUUUAUAUAUGAUUAGAUAUCGGGUUGUGCAUAACAUUAAAAUAUUUCGGUUUUAAGUAGAUAAUUUUUGUUACUAUUUAAAAAUUAGUAAACAUAUUAAGUUAAUAAUAAUAAUAGUUUAUAUAUAGAAUAAAAAUAAGAAAAUUAGUAAUCCAUAAUAUUAUAAAUAGCUAAAUAUUUACCAUUUUUCAACAAAAGAGUAAAAAAUAUGUUUUUUUUUUAAUUUGAUAAAAAUGAAAAAAUAACUUAAAAUAUAAUAUGAAAUUAUUAAAAUCAACAUUUUAAGUAUGAAAAUUAUAUCAAUGAAAUAAAUUAUGUAUAUAUUAUUAAUUAUAUUAUAUAAUAUACAUAUAAUUAUAUUACUGUAUUUUAGUUGUCAGGUUCAUUCGUUUUGAUCAGUUUAUAAUAGAUUCUUCCAAGUAAACAAGAAGAAAUACUGCAUUAGUUAUUCAUAAAGUGAAAUUAAUGUAUCAACUUUUUUAUCAAGAAAAAUAAUUACAAAGGCUGUCUUUUGCUUGUCGAAAUAAUUUCCCAUUAUUUCAAAGGAUAAUUCAUAUUCUUUAGAAAGAAAAAAACCUUUAUCAAUAAAAAGGUAUAACUAAAAGAAAGUUUAAACUAAACUACAUUCAGGGAAUAUAUUCCAAUGCAGAAAAUUCUUACGUGGUGUAGACGACUAGUAGUCUCAUAUGUCCUUUUUCAAACAUGAUUGCAUGACCGAUACACAAGUAAACAAAGAAAAGUCUAUAUUAGAGACACUACAAUAUUCGGGAAAAUAAUAUGAUAUUAUGAUGUCAGUUGUCAAAUUACGCAGCUAUGUAGUAGACUCGCAUCGUAUUCCUCUCUCAUAUAAAUUUUCAUAUCUUGACUAGAUAGUAAAUAAAUCAUGGUAUACUAGCAUGUGAUCAUAGUUUCUCUUCCAAAUCGGGCCGUCAAAUCACCCAUUUGAUUUAAAUACUCUUGAUAACUUACUUUUAAAAUUAUAAGCAUGCAUGAUUAAGCUUAGAUAAUCUAUUUUUUCAAAGUUCUUAAAUAUUUAUAUUUAUACAAAUGACUAAUCAUGUACACUCUUCAAUUCAGUCCAGCAUAUCCUUUUCCGUGUUAUUUUUGUCUAAUCAGGAUGACAAUGAUCUUUGACCAAAGGUUGGUUACUGACAACAAACUAAUCAAAACAUGCAACCCAACCAUUGUUAAUUGAUUCAAUCAUUUAUGUUUUGUUAGAAGGAAAAAAAUGUUAUAAUUAUGUAUACUUAAGGAAAAUAUGCAAAUGCUUCAAAAGGUAAAUAAAUACAAUAGAAAUGAGAAAAAAAGCAAGCAAAUGAGUUAUCAAAAAGGUAAAAGAAGAAAAUUUGGACAAGUCAACUGGAUUUUUCUAGCACGAGUGUCUUGUACCAUAUCAAUUCUCCAUUGAAUAAUAACCACUUAUCAUUUUCUCACUUUAUCAGCACAAAGAAAAAUACAAAAAAAAAAAAAACAGACCACAACAGAGAAAAUCACACUCUUUAUAUAAGUUUAUAUUUGUUGUUCAGUCUCCUCAUCUAACACUUUAAACUAAAACUUACACACACAAAAUAAAAAAGAAUGGAAGGAGGAAUACAUGGAGGGGCAGAUAAAUCAGCUUUCAGAGAAUGUUUUUCUCUAACAUGGAAGAACCCUUAUGUUCUUCGUCUUGCUUUCUCCGCAGGAAUCGGUGGUCUUCUCUUUGGCUACGAUACCGGUAAGUUUCUUAAUCUGUUAUCUGCAGUUUCACUCAUCUAUAUACACAUGUGGCUCAAGUUUGAUGGGCUUUAUAUAUACAUGCAGGAGUUAUAUCAGGAGCUCUGCUUUAUAUCAAAGAAGAUUUCAAGACUGUUGACCGGGAAACUUGGUUACAGGUUCUUAUAUGUUUGUUUUUACAAACAAAAAAAGAUGUGUUGAAUUAUGAUUAUUUUCUAGGAACUAUUUUAACAAGAUUGAUGUGGUAAUUAAAUUGUAAUGUCAUCCCAAAACAACACAGAGACCAUAGUGUCAAAUCAAAGAAACCUUAAUAACUUUAGGUCUAAUCAUUAUGAAAUACUUUGCAAAAGCCUAGGAAAAGGUUUUCAGAAAUUUGGACAAGCAUAAAUAAAAGCAGAUCAUAAGAGUUUCAACUCUGUUUUACUCAUGCCGUUAUACACACCAUGCUGUUUUUGUAUUUACCGUUAAGAAUCACGUAACUAACUACUCAAACGUUACAAACACACACUAAGCUCCAAAUCAAUUUUAUGAAAAACAGGAAAUGAUAGUGAGCAUGGCGGUUGCUGGAGCCAUCGUUGGAGCAGCCAUCGGAGGUUGGGCCAAUGACAAAUUCGGGAGGAGAAGCGCCAUUCUCAUGGCGGAUUUCCUCUUCCUAAUAGGAGCUAUCAUUAUGGCUGUCGCUCCUAACCCGUCCCUCAUUGUCGUUGGCCGUGUUUUUGUGGGCCUUGGGGUCGGUAUGGCUUCGAUGACCGCCCCGCUCUACAUAUCAGAAGCUUCUCCAGCUAAGAUCAGAGGAGCUUUGGUCAGUACCAAUGGGUUUCUUAUCACCGGAGGACAAUUCGUGUCUUACCUCAUUAACUUAGCCUUCACCGACGUAAGUGAUAUUAAACAAUUUAUCAUUUUGGAUUAUUCUAAAGGUGUUAAUGUUCUGUUUCUCUUAUUGUUUUAGGUGAAAGGAACAUGGAGGUGGAUGCUUGGAAUCGCGGGAGUUCCAGCCCUUUUGCAGUUCAUCUUAAUGUUUACACUCCCUGAAUCACCUCGUUGGUUAUACCGCAAGGUAUAUAUGAAUGUGUUCAAUAUGAUAAUUUUAGAGAAAAAUAGUUACAUGUGUUCAAAAAAAAGGAGAAAAAUAGUUACUAUUUUGUUUUGAAACACUGAAAAACAGUUAUUAAUAUGGCAAAAUAUAAAACAAAAUCUACUAUGGAUUGGUUUGGUAUCAUUUCUCUAAAUAUUUUAACCUUUUAAAACCUACUUCCAGUUUACAUUUUUGGUUCUAUGAAAAAUAUACCCAUAACAAAUUGUAUUUUUCAUUCUAACAUAAACAGGGAAGAGAAGAAGAGGCUAAAGCAAUCAUGAGAAGAAUAUACUCAGCAGAAGAUGUAGAACACGAGAUUAGAGCACUAAAAGACUCAGUUGAAUCAGAGAUAUUCGAAGAAGGAUCUUCCGAGAAAAUCAACAUUACCAAACUAUGCAAAACCAAAACCGUUAGACGAGGACUAAUAGCUGGUGUUGGUCUCCAAGUGUUUCAGCAGUUCGUUGGUAUCAACACUGUUAUGUAUUAUAGUCCCACCAUUUUCCAGCUGGCCGGUUUUGCUUCAAACAGAACAGCUAUUCUCUUGUCUCUAGUUACCGCAGGACUUAACGCAUUUGGUUCCAUCAUUAGCAUUUACCUCAUCGAUAGAACCGGAAGGAAAAAGCUUUUGAUCAUUAGUCUUUUUGGAGUCAUUGUCUCUCUUGGAUUGCUAACUGGUGUUUUCUAUGAAGUGACUACUCAUGCUCCUGCGAUUAGCUCCCUCGAGACACAAAGGUUCAAUAACGUUACUUGUCCGGAUUACAACUCAUCUUUGAAAGCACAAACUUGGGAUUGUAUGACUUGUUUGAAAGCUUCUUCUCCUUCUUGUGGGUUUUGUUCAUCUCCCAGUGGAAAGGUAAAGUCUUCGAAGAACCCGAAAAUGUUUUCUUUAUAACCUUUUUUUUACUUUUCUUUUUUGAAAAUGUUUUUUUUUUAACUUGAAAAACAUUAGAGUUCCAUAUCUUUUUUUAUAUGAUGAAUGCAGGAACAUCCUGGGGCUUGUUGGGUCUCUAAUGAUUCGGUUAAGGACUUAUGUCAUAAUGAAAACCGGCUUUGGUACACAAGAGGAUGUCCUAGUAAUUUUGGUUGGUUUGCUCUUCUUGGAUUGGGACUUUAUAUCAUUUUCUUCUCUCCGGGGAUGGGGACUGUUCCAUGGAUAGUUAACUCAGAGAUUUAUCCAUUGAGAUUCAGAGGAAUCUGUGGAGGAAUAGCUGCAACUGCAAAUUGGAUAUCAAAUUUAAUUGUAGCUCAGUCUUUCUUGUCUUUGACUGAAGCUAUUGGGACUUCUUGGACUUUCCUCAUGUUUGGAGUGAUCUCAGUCAUUGCUCUUCUCUUUGUUGUGGUGUGUGUUCCGGAGACAAAAGGAAUGCCAAUGGAGGAGAUUGAGAAGAUGCUUGAGGGAAGAUCUCUUCAUUUCAAGUUCUGGAAGAAAAGAUCACAGCCCGUUGAGAAAGGAAACCAAACUGCAUAAGAGAACUCGAUCUUUAAAGAUUUCAUUAGUAAUAUAAAUAAGAAAUCACAUUAGACUUGUAACUUUGUAUAUGAAACUUGAUAGUGACAGUUACGUGAUCCCCUCUCUACCAUAAAAAUACUUUUAUGAGUCAAACUACUAGAGGAAGAUCCUAGAAGCUAUAUCUUUUACCAUAACAGUGAAGUGUCACCAAAAUCAUUUUGAUAAAGACCAAUUAAAUUACACAACCUCUCGUUUAACUAUUGUCAAUGGUGAAUAACUCCUAUGGUCAUAUGAUACAUUCGAGGUUAUUUAACUUAAAAUAAAUAAUUUUACAUAAAAUCUUGUCUUUUUAGCUGUUGAGGAUGAAGCUGACAACUACAAGAUUAAAUGCAGAUAACAAAAAUAUACUUGAAAGUUGAAAGGUAGGUAAUUCCAAAUGGUAUUUUGCUCUUUUUGCAUUAGAAAUUUUCUAAUAUUAAAUCAAUUCAAAUACGGGCAACUAAACUGCUACUGAGGUUGUAAAUUUGUGCGUUUCUUAACUCGGAGAAACAAACCAAUUAUGUUUAAUAUAAUAAACAUUCGAAAAUACAUUCAAGAUUCAAGAGAUACAUUGGAGUAACUAUGUAUUUUGGAAACAAAAAGGUGAAAUUCGAUGUGAAACAAAAUAUUCUGAAUGUGCAUCAAUAAAUGCCUUUAGACAGCGACACGUGCCUGGUGCCUCACAGUCUCGAGCCCGUCGUUAAGCACUGUUACCACCGAAACCCAAAUAUCACCUUCUUUUUGCAUUGGUCUUCUUAAAAACCAUUUUUAUAAUGGAAGGCACACAAAUAUUAAUGCAACUCUGGAAUAAAGACAUCUGAUUAUAGAGACGUAACAAUUCCCAUUUAGGGAAUGUAUUUGGUUAGUUAGUCCAAGUGGGGUUGUAUUCGUGUGAGAUGUUGUUUUGGUUUGUUUUUAUUCAAGUGGGUUCAAGCAUCAAAUUGUUUAAUAUGGAUUCGGUAUACUUGAACUUGGAUUGCUUAUAUAGCUACAGUUCAAAAGAAUCCAUGCUUAAGGGAGAAAACACAGUUUUAUUGAAUCAGAUUUAUCUGAAAAGAGGAAAAUGAUAAGAAUCAGAUUUUAUCGCAUGCAAGAAGUGAAGUUUAUGCCUUAUCUGAAGAUCAUGUGUCCCCUUAAUUAAUCCCAUCGACAUGGCCUUUUUCACUACUGAUUUUAAAUCAGCGUGAAACAUGAUGCAAUUGUAUGGUUGUUGAAUAGAUAACAAUCCUUUAACGAAUUUAGACUAAAUAUUUGCAUCAAUGAUUAAAAUAUCGAUGUACCUCAUGCAGUAGCGGUCCUGACAUGGAAAGACCACAAUCAAUUUUCUAAAAGUUGACCUAUUUUGUAUAUUCUUAACUAAAGUAUCAUAAAUAUAUAUCAAUAAUUUGUUUUAAAAAGGCUGGUUUUUUCAAGUUUUUUGGAUAGACCGGAAGCUGGUGCUUGGUGUGCUUUCCAUCAGGGUCGGCACUGACCUCGUGGAGCCAUAAAUUAAGGAAGGGUCCUUUCUCCCGGACAUUUAAAACUGGAAGCGCUAGUGUAGGAUAUGAACUGUUACAACUGUAUAUUUGAGCACCAUGAAUUUGUCAGUGACUUUUCAUGUAUAUUGUUCGUAGCUGAUAAUGCCAAUCCCACAUAUUGGUUAGGGCAGCGUUUUCCACACCUUCAGAUUAGUCUGAGCCUGCUUAUUAUAGCUUUUCUAUUUUGUUUGUUUUAUCCCCACGCUAAGUAAUUCGAAUUGACUUUGUAUGUUUGGACAUUCUUCGUUUUGACUUGUACAUAAACUCAAAAACAUGUGAUGGAUAUAUCAAUCUCUGAUCUAAGUGGGUAUAUACAUUUGUUUUUUUUUCUUGAAACACCGAUAUACAUUUGGUUAAAACAUGUAGCAAAUACAGUGUAAAUAGUAAUUACCCUUUAAAGAUUUUUCCUAAUAAAUUAUUUGCACUUGCCUUAUUCUUAUUCGUAUUUCAUCUACAAAAACACAAACAAAGAAUAUAUACCUAUGUGCUUAUUCCUAGCUAUUGUCUAAUCAGAUUUUAUAAUGAUCUUAGAAUAGGACAUGGACUUUGAUUAAUUAUUUGAGCAGGUUUCUCAUGAAUAUAUAAUAUGAAUGAAGUAAAGAAAUAAAGAAGAGAGAAAAUAAUCUUAUUUUGUUUGAGAUAUUUUAACACAUAUUUGAAAAUAAUCAAUAUUUUUAAAUAUUUAAUUUAUUUUAAAAAAUCUAUAUUCACCAAUGCUGAUGGAUUAACAUAAGUGGAUUAGUUGUGGACUAUUUGAUAUCCCAAUUGUAAUUAGGUAAACAAAGAAUGGCAGAUUUGUAAAACCGAAAACUAAAGAAGGGUAAAAGAGAGAAAACAGCAUAACGAAAGUCCUAAAUGGUCCGAACAGUGCACUUGUAUUCCUUGUCCGAAGGCUACUGUGGAUAUUUUUCUCAAACAGGUAAAUAAUACUUUCUCUCUCUAGCAUCUCCCUCCGAUUCCCAUUUUCGCCAUUUUUCUUUCACUUUCUUGGCUGAUUUUCCCCGAAAAAAAAAGAAAAACAUUAUAAACCCUCACCACAAACUCCCCUGAAAACGAAUACUUGAUGCUAUAUUAAAUGACCCUUUUGAUUUAAAUAUUUCAGAUCUGUGUAUCUUCUUCUUCUUAAACCACUACGCUUAUGAUGAGGAGAUCUGAGUUAUAGAAGAAUCAUACCAAAGACUGGGAGAAAAAAGCUAAUGAAAAGAAUCUGAGAAGGAAAUUUCAUUUAUAAACCAUCUUCGCAGCCAUUGUUGUCCGACAGUGAGCUUGGACAGUUGACACCUGUAAUCCAAGUGAGUUUCUCUUGUUGGUGAUUUUUGAGGCAAAACCCUUUCUCUCUUUUAUUUUCUUUUUAGGAUUAAAUCUAUGCUUUAUUUAUUGUAUCUAUAUUGUUAACUUCUGUGAUUGUUCCAUUUUUAGGGCAAGCUUUUAGCUUCUUGAACAAAAAAAAUCAUUACUCAGGUAGUCAGGUUCUUCAACUAAAAAAAAAUAUAUUUGUUAUUCUUCAACUAAAAAAACUUAUGACCAAAGCUAAUAAUCUUUGGAAGUAUCUUUUUUUUUUAUCAAACAAUAAUAAUUUAGGGUUUCUGAAAAGGCUCUUGCAGCUAUGAAGCUAUACAUAUACUAUGAAACUGAAAUGCUACGAACAUGAAUAGGUUUUGCAGAUCUACAUAUUAGUAUAAAUUAAUUAAUUAGCUGACAUUAAUCUUUUUAUAUAUAUUCAGUAUUUCAAUAGCAAUGACUUUAAUUUCUUCUUCCUCUUUCUUUUUACAGAUUCCUAUCACUGCAACAUACUCAGUCUUUUUUGGCCCUAUCGUCAUAGCUCUGCAACUGUUUCUCUUCAGAGAGAGAGAGUAGUGAAGGCUUAAUUACUAUCUUACUUGAAAAGCAUGAGAGUAGUGUUUCAAUGGAAGACGACGACGACAUUGAGACACAACAACAAACAAGCAGAAAGCUACAGAGACUCUCCUCCGACAAAACUGAAAUGAGGGACUGGAGCAAUCCAUCGUCUCGGAUCAUUAGGGUUUCACGAGCUACCGGUGGCAAAGACCGACACAGCAAAGUCUUAACAUCAAAAGGGUUAAGAGAUCGGAGGAUACGUCUCUCCGUCGCUACAGCGAUCCAGUUCUACGACCUCCAAGACCGUCUCGGGUUCGAUCAGCCGAGCAAAGCCGUUGAGUGGCUUAUCAACGCGGCUUCUGACUCAAUCUCCGAUUUGAAUCCGAUCGAUACGAACUUCGAACAGACGCUUUCGCUGUCUAAGUCGAGCACGUCUGAGAGCUCGUUGUUGUCUUUGUCGAGGACAGAGAGUCGUGGCAAAGCGAGGGAGAGAACAGCUAAAGACAAAGACUUGCAAAGCUCCUUCACUCAGCUUCUCACACGCGGUUUUGACGAAUCGAACCGGAGUUGGACCGGUGGUGGUUCUUCUGAUUGUUUCAACCCGGUUCAGCUCAUACCGAGCUCCUUGAAUCAUCGUCAAGAGCCGUCGUUGAAUCAUAGUAAUAGUCAAAACCAAUACUCUUUUUUACCGAACUACAACGUUGGAAUCUCUUCUUCUGAUUCUCCCGGGGAAGCCGGUUGUUACAGUAGUAGGGGGACCCUUCAGUCCAAUUCACUACCUCUCUUUCUCAACAACAACAUUAAUCAAAGAUCGAUAUCUUCGUCUUCUUCUUCAUCUUCUCCAAUGGACAGUCAGAGCAUUUCCUUUUUUAUGUCUCCGCCUCUACACAACCAUAGUCAUGAUCAGCUUCCAGAGGCUUUUGAUGGCCGGUUAUAUCUCUAUUACGGUGAAGGAAACCGGAGCUCCGACGAUAAAGGAAAGGAGAGAAGAUAGUACAGCAAAAAUGUUUCAUUAACUCCAUCUUGGUUAUUAGUACUUUCUAUCUAUUUUACAAUGUCAAUUUUUUUAAGAAAUGGAUUAGUUAAUGUAGUAAUAGUACCAUGUUGUUUGCUUUGGGUUCUUGAUCUUGUAAAAGAAAGAUGGUUUAUUGGGGCGUGGGUGGCAUUGAGUCUUAUCUUUAUUUGUGUGUCUUGAAGUAAAUGACAUUUCUAAGAUUACUAAUAUGAUGGCAUGUGGAUGUAGGGCUUUCAUCGUCUGUGUUUGUCUCCUCAUGUGUUCCAUGUUGGGUUCCCUUCUUACUCAGCAUUCACUUUGUUCCACUUGUUGUACUUUCUUGUUUCACCACGUAUUGUCACAAUUAAUUUAACCAAAUUGACUGAUUGUUGCUUUUUGAUGUAUCUGUUUGAUUCAAUAUCAUACUCCCUCCGUUUUUUAAUAUAAGUCGUUUUAGAGAAGUUUUUAUGUUUCGAUGUUUUCAGUUUUCUAAUAAAAUUUAUUAACAUUUAAUGUUAUAUAACCAAUGAUAAUAUACUUUUUAUUUUAUUAUUGGUUGAUUUGUAGUUAGGUAAAUAAUUAAUGAUGUUUUUGUUUAAAAAUAAAAAAAUUAAUUUACGUGCACAAUUCUAAGAAGUCUUAUAUUAAAAAACCGAAGGAGUAUAUAAUAGGAGUAUUCACCUAACCUCUCACCAAUCAUGCAAAGCGAGUUUCCAAUUGAACUCGUAUGGAGGCAGGACUGUGGGAGUUUCUUGUGAGACCGAAGAAGGCAAUUGUACAAGAGUGCAUGUACAAUUGCCUUCUUCGGUCUCACAAGAAACUCCCACAGUCCUGCCUCCCUACGAGUUCAAUUGGAAACUCGCUUUGCAUGAUUGGUGAAGAAGCAUCAUGUGUCACAAGCCAGUGAGUUGUUGCAGUUUUUUGCAGAAAGACGGUUGUGAUCUCUCUGUUUCUUCUCUUUUUUGUUCCUUCUUUCUCCAAUAUAUGUGGAUCUGUUUGCUUCCACCAUCUGGAAAAAAUGUCAUUGAUAACACUGUUAACACCUUCCUAGUGUGCAAUACUCAAUGCAAGUUUUAUUCGCCUUGGCAUCAAAUGAACAACAUUUUGGGAGAAACUGACUAAGGUCUUGUAGAUCACAUGUAACCCUCAGCACAAGAAACACGAUCACCCAAAUAAAAACAAUUCAAAGAACAUGACCAUAGCCUUUAAACAAAAAAAAAAAGAACAUGACCAUAGCCAAAACGUAAACCUCAGGCAGGUUCUUGUAUCUAAAUGAUAAUCAAAUAUAUUUGAAUUCAGAUCAUAGAGGGAAUCUAAUUUAAACACUGUAAAACAGAGCAGAAAAGCACAAUUUUUCUUGAGUGGUGCGUAAUACCUGAAACCAUCGUAAUGCGCAAAUCAAAACGAGUUCGAUUCCAGACAAAGCUUGAUCAACAUCUUCACCGCAGUCCCAAACGGCUCAUCAAACGCAUCAGACAACCAAGAAGCAUCACGCACUUCCUUGUUUCACACUCGACCUAAUAGCCACCAAUGUCGCACCUUUCGGAACAGUACUAUCUGUUAACUCCAACUCCGACGCAUACCACAGCCUCAUGUUCAAAUGAAAGAAAACAUGUAAAACUUUCAUAAACCUCAAAAACUCGAACUUCAAAUCACUUUAAUAUACCAAGCCCGUCAUCCAUAAGAAGACAUAAAAUGUCUGUGUCAUCAAUCCCCUGUAUCUACAGAGUACGAAUGAUUUGCUCGUGUACGUAGUCCCGUUCUCUGGAGACUGGACCGUGUUUCAUGGGGAGAGCGUAAGAAGGCGCAAAGUUUUGUCGCUGCCGUGUUUGUGUUCUUGCUCUCCAACACGGCUUAUUUACCAUCAUCAAAUAUAUAUGGUGACCAUUGCAUUAGAAGAUUUGGAAGAGUUUGUAUUAUCCUCUCCAAGUUUUUCCAUAAUGUACAAUAAAACAUAUAUAUAUAUAUAUGCGUUACGCGUGUACAUGCUAAUGUUUAUAUAUGCUUGAAUUUUUUAUUGAAAUGUUUCGUUUUAGUUUCUUGACAUAUUAUUGUAAUCGAUUCACCGUAGAUACGGCGGAGCAUAUGUAUCUUUUCCCAGGAAAUUCGUACGGAGAUUGACAUUUUUUUUUUUUGAAAAGGCUUUCAAGAUUGACAUCCUUUAUCUUGUUUUAUCUAUAUUUUACAAAAUCUAAAUCAAAGUGGCAAAUUUUGUAUCCCCUAUUGAUAUAAGAUAAAUUGUUUCAACUGGUAACGUACCAAUAGUUAGCUUAAAACGUAGUAUGUUUUUCUACAGAUAGUGAUAUCUUUGCUUUUUUUUCUCACCAUAAUUUAAAUUACAUGAUAUCUAUAUUAAAUUUUCGCAACGGAUCUCAAGUUAAAAUUAAAAAUGGUUAAUAUUGUUUAUACUUAAUGAAAAAAAAUAAAUUAGAUAAAAAACGAAUUAAAUAUAGAUAAGAUAAAUGAUUAAAAUUAAGAAAAAUAAAAAUUAUUCAAAAUCUAAAAGAUAUAUUAUAAAAGAAAAAGAUAAUUCUUAUAUAUUGUGUUGUUAUCCAAAAAUUACUAUUUAAUAAAAAUUAUAAUUUAAAGACAGGAAACACAUAACUAAAUAGUUAUAAAGCAAAAUUCUUAAUUUUAUAUAGUUGAAAAAUAAUAUUGAAUGAAUAUAAACAAUAAGUUAUCAUUGUAGUUUUUAAUUAAUAAUUCAUGUAUUAAUAUUUAAUUAGUAAUUCGUUUGUGCAUGCAUAACUCCUAGUAUAAUAAUAUUUAAUAAUAAAAAUUAACUACAACUUUUUAUUUUAAUUCAGUUUUUGAAAAAACUGAAAGAAAAAAAAGAAGCUUUUGAAACAUUUGAAGCCUUAUCUAAAUCCUGUUUUUUUUUAAAAAUUUCCUUCUUUAGUUUUUGCUGGGUCACAUAUUAUAUCGUCUCUUUUAUUGAGGCUUGAGAAAGAGAAUGUUUUCAUGUUUUAAAGGCUAUCUUGGGACUUUUGACACUCUUCUACGUUUUUAUUUCUUCUUCUUUGGGAAGCAAAUAGUCUUGUUCGAUCAUUUCAAUAUUUUAAGAUAAACCGCUCUAUUACUACAUAGCAACACAACUAGUGGAACUAUACUUUCAUAUAUCUGGAGAUUGAGAUGAUUACAUUUCUGAGUCACCUCCUACAUUCUUUGCUUUGAAUGUUCAUCGGGGACUAACGAUGCCUUCCUGCCAUUAUUUCGUUGUCCUACAAAUACUUGGGCUCAUCCUUUUUCUUUAUCAAAAUGAAAAGCCCAUGAUUAAAAAAUUAAUUUACAACGAUGCUAUGGUAUGUAAAAACGCAAAUGGGCCAAAACCAAGAUACCAGACAUGAUCUUUUUUUGUGUCACCUGGUGCCACUAAACAUGUUAUCAUAUUUUGGCAGCUUACUUGUCAAGAGUGAUGAAUAAUACUAUUGGUAAAAUAAAUGUGUAUGUGUUAUUAACUUAUUAUUCUUCAUCACUCAUCACAUGUCCAAGUUGACAAGAUCUUGGAAACUGUUUGGGCACUCAAAGUUCUCUAUAAACAAACAAAAAUUGACAUAUACUGCUCUUUUUAUUAGAACUGACCACGGUAGUGACCUCUGUAGCUUCAUAAACCAAAAAAACACCAAAGUGGAAACAAGAAAAAGAAGGUUGGUGGUCAUGCCUAUUGGUAAUAAAAAGAGAAAUAGAAUUGAUGUUCUCAAUAAAUCAUAUGAUUUGUUUCUUGUGUAGUUAAUCUUCACAUGUAUUCUGCCAACAAAAGACGAUUGCCAUGAUACCAUGUGUGGGUAAGUAAAUUACUUUAUUUUAUGAAAUGUAAAAAUAAAACAUGUUAUCAAAUGAUUUCUAUUAAAUUUAAACUCCAAAGAGAUAAUUUCGAAAGUAUUUUACCAACUAAAACCUUUUAACAAUGGAGAUUUUUGCGUUCAUCUUUUUCAUUAUCAAAAUGGAGAGCCGUAGGAGAGCCCAUUACGGACAAAUACAAUUUACAAUGAUGCUAAGAUAAACAUUAAACAUAGUGUAAAAAAACGUAAAAUGGCUGAAUGGAAAAGUUUUAAGUAAUUGAUUCAAGUCAUAAAAUAAAACAUGUUAUCAAAUGAUUUUUAUUAAAUUUAAACUCCAAAAAGAUAACUAAAACCUUUUAACAGUUGAGAUUUUUGCGUUCAUCUUUUUCAUUAUCAAAAUGGAGAGCCGUAGGAGAGCCCAUUACGGAUAAAUACAAUUUACAAUGAUGCUAAGAUAAACAUUAAACAUAGUGUAAAAAAAUGUAAAUGGCUAAACAACCCAAGAUAACACACAUGAUUUAAUUAGUAACUAAUCACCUUUUGAGAAUCCCUUCCUUAUACCAUUGAUGGAGUUGCUCUCAUGUUUUGGCAACUUAACUUGACUAAUAAUAGUUUAGGUAAAAAUAAAUGUGUAUGUGUUAUUAUUCGUUUGACUAAAAAAAGUGUUAUUAUUCUUAAUCACUCAUCACCUGUCCAAGACAUCAAGUUGUAAAGAUUCUGGAAACAAGUUUGGGCACUUCGAUUUCUCUAUAAACGAAUAAAUUGACAUCUACUGCUCUCUUUAUUAGAACUGACCACGGUAGCUACCACUGUGGCUUCAUAAAUCCAAAAAACACCAAAGAAGAAACAAGGAAAAGAAGGUUGGUGGUCAUGCCUUUUGGUAAUAAAAAGAGGAAUAUAAUUGAUAUUAUCAAUAAAUCAUAAGAUUUUUUUCUUGCAGUAAGUAGUCUGCCAACAAAAGACGAUUGUCAUGAUACCGUGUGAUGGGUAAAUAACUACUCAUUACUUUGUUUUAUAAAAUGUGAAAUAAAACCAGUUUUUUUUUUGUCAUUGAAAUAACUUCCAAAAGUUUGAUCUCCAAAAAGCUCAAUGCUCUGAGAGAAACAAAGAGAAAACAAGCAAAAGAUAAAAGACAUACACCAGUAGGUGCUUAAACAAAAGAAAAAACCUAACAAAAAGAAAUGAGUUUUUGAAGAUAUAAAUGGCUUCAUAUUCCAUUAGGUGAAAUAAAACCAGUUAUCAAAUGAUCUGUAUUAAAUUUGAACUUCAAAAAGAAGAAGGAAAGAAUUACCAAAGCAUUUUACAAAAUAGAAAUCCCUUUAACAAUUGUUUAGCCGUUUAUCAAGAAUGUCUCUCCUUAGUUUCAAAAAAAAAAGAAUGUUCCCUACCCAUAACUGAAAGUUGUGUAUAUUCUUGAUUGAUACUAUAAGCGAACUUUCUUAUUCAAAAUUACAAAUUACAAGCGAUCAAUAUGUGUCUUUUGUAAGGUGUUUUCUACGACCAAAUCUAACAACUACCAUUUACUAAACCACUAUCCAUAUAUAGUUGAUCAAUUGAUUGAGUUGUGUACAAAAUUUUGUUGAAGGCUCGUAAAUGUUUUUUAUUAUGUAAAAGACUUAUCGUGUAUCAUAUAGUAUCUGCAAAUAUGAUUUCUUUCAGUGUGUAUUUCAUGCGUUACAUAGUUAACCAAAAAUGGAGUAUGGUGUACCGUGGGAGCUAAAAAAAAUUACAAAUGUAACAUAAAUACUCUCAUUACAAAAAAAAAAAGGAUAAUUUUGCCAUACAAUAAUAUAUCUCGAUGCAUGCAACAAUAUAAUUAUGUGUUGCAUGCACAAACACUAUCCAUAUAUACAUUUGAUGAAGUUUUGUAAUUACAAAGAAAGUCCCUUCUUUUUUAUGAUUUUUAAUACGUUAACAAAUGUUGUGACCACUAUCCAUAUAUACAUUUUUAAUACAAUAAUAUAAUUUUUAUUUGUAGUAAAUUAAUUUCUUUCAGUUUCUAGUUCACAUUUUAAGAUAGCAUUGCUUUUAUUGCCUUCAAAAAAAUGUUACGUACGUAGAUUAAUAUUCCUCCUGCCAUUUUCUCUUCGCUUCUAUAUAUAUGCCUCCCUACAACCGUCAGAAACCACACCUAUCGAUCUCUCUUUCCCUCUCUAUCUAUCUAUCUAGCUCUCUCAAAAUGUUCAAUGCAUCUCGGAAGGCAGUUAUGGACCGGGUUAGAUCCCAGUUCCUCACAAGGUUUGAAACAAUGGUGAGGGAGAUGCUGUCGGACCAUCCUUUUUUAAAAGGCCAGUGCAUCCCUACCAUCAUUGCUGAAAGGGUUUCUACUCAAAUGAACGCCGGAGCGGUGGAGAGGCAGAUUAUCAAACAUCACUGGGUUCAAGUCUCCUUUGAGCACAAGAUCUCCACACCCAUUCCUUCAAAACCAAGAUAUGGCAUGCCUAGAGAUGAAGACGUCGUCACAACCACACGCUUCAAAGUCACUGCAGAAAGCGCAUUCAUAGUGGCCUCAUACGACGAAGUAGAUGAAGACGGUAGAAACAUGGGGAGUGAGGUUAGGCUGUUCUCAGUGCAACGUCCAGAGCUCAGCAACGAAGAAGAUGAUGAUGAUGAUGAGGGCACCUCUUGAUCUUUAUCUCCUCCAAAAGGCAAGAAAUGCGGUGGCAAAGGUAAGAAAUGGAUACUCCUCUGUUUUUCUUUUCUUUAAAAAAAAGUCGGUUAAGAUUUUAUCUUAAUGUGACGAAUCUAUCUAUGUUUGUUGUUUCUUAAUUGCAGUUCUUAUGUUUUAUGUAUCCGUUCGUCCUUUUUUCUAAAAAAAUGUAUCCGUUCUUCCAUUGCUAUCUAGCUAUAUAUAUAAUCCUUCAUUUAGAAAUGAACGACUACACUAUUAUCUCCUCUUAAAGUUCUGGUAAAUGACGAAGAUUCUCCUAUCAUAAACUAGUAUACUGUUAUGUAUCAUUUGAUGAUUCGUUUUUGUGCUGCGAGUUUAAAUUAUUUACCCCAAGACUAAAAUGACGACGCACGGUUUUGUAUCAUAAAUUAGUAGUCAGAUAUGUAUCGGUAAAUGAUUCGUUUUUGUGCUGCAAGUUUAAAACUAUUUAUCCCAAGACGAAAAGGACCCCCAAGAUUUUUGUAACCUAAACUAGUAGUCUGUUACGUAUCGUUCAAUAAUCUUUGUAUAGUUUGCUCCUAUUUGUGUUAAAGAUGUUGGAAUUUGUGUUGUUUGUACAUGCAAAGUCUCUCACAGUUCAUAUUCAGAAAUUACAAGGCUGUUUUACCCAUAAUAAACUGAAAAUACAUUGAUUAACAAAGAUAAAAGAGAUCAAAAAAAUUUCCAAGUAAUGUAUCUACACAAACUAUAAGAAGUAAUGCAUACCAUCCGAUUGUCAGUUUGUCACAGAAGGUUACAUUCAAGUAACUUUCUUCUGGUCUUUGCCACAAUUUUCCAGCCAGUCCAUUCACUAACAUCGUCAGUAUUCAUCACAGUGCUUUAGAUCUUUCAAAGUACCAAGUUGGUUAUUUUAUUUUAUUGAUAUCAAUGGAUUUAGAAAGAUACCAUACUAUCUUGCAUGGAAGAUACCAUAUCAACAAUUAUUUUUUUUCUUAGAGCAUCCACAACCCUAAAUCCUUAAAAACAAAUCCUUAACAACAAUUUUUAGAAUAUUUUAUUUUUUUUUCUUUUUUUUUCAUCCAAAUUUAAAAAAAAUAAAAAAUAAAAAGAUUGGCCAAUCGCGGGCUUCCACGCGGCGGUGGAGCCCGCGCACAGUGAAGAAGCUGUCAGAAAAGAAAUCUUUAAAUUAGGACUUUAAGAGACAAUUACAGCACAAAUUCUUAAAUAUUUGGACCCCACAUAUUAUUAUAAUAAUUUAUUGUUAAGGAUUUAUUGUUAAGGAGCUGUGGUUGUGGGUGCUCUAAGAUACAACGUAAGCAUGCUGAAUGGGCUUGCGAAUAAUAGUUUAAUGUGCUUUAAGGCCCAAUUUAAAAAAUAACAGCAGUUUCCCAAAGAGAAGUACUCUCCUCCAUUUCGUUGAUACGAAUUUCCAAUGUGAAAUGAUUUGCUAAACAUGUAUGAUGUAUCAAAAGAGAAUACAUAACUGAGAGAUAGUGGUUUAAUGGGAUCUCUUACCGAUAUAAUAAUUUCAUUUUUCAGUUCCGUACAAAUAUAAAAUGGGUGAACGUGCGUGUAUCCAAUUCAGAAGUUACAUUGACCGAUUUGAAAUAUCACAAACAAGACGAUGAAAUGAACCAUUUUCAGUUCCGUAGAAAUAUACGAUGGGAAAUGUGGGCCCAUAAUGUGUAUCUUAAGAGUUCCAUUGGCCGAUUUAAUUUACUACAAGCAAGACGAUGAACCAUUUUCAGUUCCGUAGAAAUAUACGACGGGGUUGAAGAGCGUACCCCAUAACAUGUACCAGUUAAGAAGUUCCAUUUAAAUAUCAGAACCAUUACAUCAAGUCUGAAUCAUGAAGGGCUAGAGCAAAUAUUUUAGUAAAUAAUAGGUGAAUAAUAAUAUAAUGAAAAGAAAUUACAAGGCUCUUCGCAUAAUAUUGUAGACAAAUAAAGACAUGUCAGUCACAGAGACGUUAUAUCAAUUUAUAAUUUACUUAAGGAUGAAGAAAUGAAUGUGGAUAUAACUAUUCGAACUUUGAAACCAAAUACUUGUAUAGUAAUUGUGUACUAAAAUUAAGAAUAUAGUUUAGAGAAAACUAAGAACGAUUAAUAAUAAGAUGGUAAACUGAAAUGUGAAGAUAAAGAUUAAUUCUCAUAGAACAUUUUCAUUGACUCAGAGUUUAUAAGAUAUAGAUUUGUGAAUGUGGUUGGCUCAGGAACUUAUUGUAUAUAUACUUGUUUACAGGGUUAUUUAUUAAGAGCUUCUGUGAGUGGACCAUGAUAACAAAUACAUCAACUGUAAAAAGCAAAUAAAAAUUAAAGAUAAAAGAUAUGGAAUUGGUUUGGAAAGAUUCCAAACAGAAAAGAAAAAAAUCAUAAAAACGGAAAAAGGAAAAAAAAAUAAACUUGGUAGCCAAGCUUAUAUUUCUUUUUUGUAACAUUUUUUUUAGCCAAGCCUAUAUAUUUUUUUUUUGAACUAUUAGCUAAGCCUAUAUUGCUAUCUUAAAACGAAGGAGGCGACUUCAUCUUAGUUUAGGGUUUCGUGGUGGUAUCUUUCAAUAAUGCCUCGGCUUCUCUUCAAGCUCUCUCCCCUCGUAAGCUAAGCUCUUUCCUGCUUUACUUCUCUUAGAUCAUUUAUUUUCAACCCUUAGAUCUGUUUGUUAAAAGAUGAUGUCACUUUUCUAUAGUUUUUAUUUUGUACGGAAGAAAAUGGAUUUUCUCUGUUAGGGGGAGAUUAAUAUAACAAACAAAGAUAAGUAUCGAAUGGCUGAGAUCCGAUCUAUGCUUAGAGAAGAGUAUUUGAUUUAAUGUCUUUUAAUAUUUCUGUCUGAACUUGGCAGAUCUACAAGAGCAGGAGCGUCCGUACGUUUUCAUCGUCCACGACCGGGCCGUGUACUCCGAUGUGCAUGAUUAUGUCUCCCUCUCCUAACGGAAACGUGGGAGAAGCCCUGCUGUUCGACGUGGACAGUUGUGAGUUAGUUAGAUCUCCAGAGAAAGCAUUUCCCAAAGAGCUUUAUAACGCUACAUUGGUCGGAACCUCCCGUGGGUGGGGCAUGUUCUCCAAUAGGCUAGACCGCUCAGCAGUUAUCAGCGACUUUCUGAACCCAUAUGCUUCCAAGUCAGAACCAAAGGUGGUUCCUCUGCCUCCAUUCACUACAAUGCACACUUACCAAACCGAAGUGGUGUGCAACAUGGCCAUGUCCUCUUCUCCUGAGCCAUACGACAAAGACUGGGUCGUUGGCAUCAAGUUCUUGGGUAAACAGCUAAGUUUCUGCAGACCCCAUCUUGAUCUGCGAUGGACUAACAUCCCAACACCUUUUGAGUCAUGGGAUACCUCAAAACUAAUGUAUUCCAAGAAAGACCAACGGUUCAACUUGCUUGCUCCUGGAGGCAACUACUUAUGCUCUUGGGAUCACGACAAGAAGCCUAAGUUCCAUGAGUUGGUGUUGCACAACCUUCCAAGCAUGCCACGCGAACAACAGCAACGGUUGGAUUCUAACUGCAGGGAGGAUCACUGGGUGGAGUCACCUUCCGGCGAAUCUUUCCUUGUCAAAUGGUACGUACCUAUAACAAUAUAUUAGGAACUUGCUAAUGUAACAUCUCAAAAACCUAUUGUAAUAACGUGCAGGUUCUCAGAAUACACUCCUGAAGGGUGCAAAGUACCGAUGGUAAUGGUGUUUAGAGAGGAGGAUACAAAAGAUGGGAGGAAAAACAUGCACUACACUGACGACAUUGGAGAUAUGUGCAUUUUCAUCUCGAAAAGUGAGGACUUCUGCGUUAAGGCGAGCUCUUGCCGUGGCCUCAAUCCUAACUCCAUCUUUUUAAAUGGACGUUUGUUUGUGUCGCUCAAUAUGAGUAAGUUUAGCUGCCGUCUCUAUGAAUAUCCAGAAGAUACACCAUAUACCAUUCCUUACUCUCCCUACUGGCUUCCUCCGUUUUCUAGCUAUUAGGUGUGGUUGGUUGGUUGUGUCAUGUUGGCCGGUUUGGAUUAGAUCAUCGAAUAUAUCAUGUUUACAAGAAUAUUACGUUGAUCAAAACCCAUAAUUACUUUGGUUGCAUUUGUUUACCAUCGAGUGAUAUUCAAUUAAUGGAGAACGUCUUUAAUUACACAUGGUGGGCAGAAGCGUAUGUAUAUUAAUAUUCUUAUCUAUUAUUUUGCAAAUUUAACAUUACAUAUUUUACAAAAAAAAAUCAAUUAAUACACACGUUUAGAGAAAUAUCCUCUAACUAAUAUUUUUCGUCUAAAAAAAGAAAAAAAAUCGACGUCCACAACUAAUUGAAAGGAUCUGUCCACACACAUUAUAAAAAUGCAGCGAGGCUGGUUUCGAUUUCCUCAACUUAAGUUUAUACAAAAGAACAAAGUUUAGAAUUGAAAGUGGUUGGUUCAGAAAUGUGAAGUUAUUGCAUCAUUUGUAACCGUUGUGAGUGGACCAUGGUAAUAAAUAAAACGGAGGGGAAAUAAAAUAAAUAAAAAGUGGUAAGAUUCCAAAAACAAAAAUUUCACCAAAAAGGAAAGAAAGAAAGAAAGAAAGAAGAACUUGGCAGUCACGCUUAUUGCUUUCUUUAAAGGGUAGAUAAUAUCUUAAGUUUUUGGGUUUCUUUGGGUUGGUAUCGUUCAAUAAUGUCUCGACUUCUCUCCAAGCUCUCUCCCAUUGUAAGCUCUUUCUUUGCUUUUGUUAUGUCUUGGAUGGUUUACUUUGUAGAAGAUAGUUGAAUUUGUGUUGCUUGCUUAAUUACUACUUGGCAGAUGCACAGGAGGAGCAUGAGCGUUCGUUCGUUUUCAUCCUCCAUGACAGGUCCGUAUAUGUUGCGUAGUCUCAAAGUAAAUCCCUCGCCAGGAGGCGUCAACAUAGGGAAAGUGCUUGUGUUCGACCCAGCCAAAGAAGAGUUACUAGAACUCACAGACAAAGCAAUACCUGAAGAAAUAAUCAUGACCAAAGCAACCGGAGCUUCCAAGGGAUGGGGAUUUUUCAGUGACCCGCAAGAUAGCUGCAUACUCAUCACCGACGUCAUGAACCCAUGGUCUUGCAAAUCAAACCCCAAGAUCUUUACUCUGCCUCCACUUACUCCCCUGCCCUCUUGCCAAACUGAUGUCAUCUGGAGUGUGGCAAUGUCUUCUUGUCCUGAUGAUGACCAAGACUGGGUGGUUGGCAUCAAGUCCUUGGGUGACCAGCUGAGUUUCUGUAGGCCUCGUCGCGACUUGCGUUGGACUAAGAUCACAACCCCUCCUGACUACUUUCCAACCUCAAACCUCAUGUAUUCCAAGAAAGAUCGCAAGUUCUACUUGACCGGUCCUGGAGGCCAUCACUUGUUAUCCUAUGAUCUCCAUUUCAAGAAAUCCGACAAGCCUGAGUUCCAUGAGUUGGAGUUUCGCAACUUUCCAGAGUCGUUCAAGUAUGACUCGGAGCAAUCAGAGCUCUUUCCUUCUUCUUGCAGGACAGAACGCCUUGUGGAGUCAGCUUCCGGAGAUGAACGUUUCCUCGUCAAAUGGUAUUAAUAUUAUUAUUAUUAUAAAACACUCUAGCUAGUCUCUACAGUUAGCAGUAACCAUUGACGUUUGGUUCUUGCAUAUAGGUACGCAAAAGGAUGUUUGGAUUCGAGAAAAAUAUCGUAUGAAACGCAGCGGAUCAUGGUGUUUAGAGAGGAGGAGACAACAGAUGGAAGAUUCAUGUGUUACACUGAUGACAUUGGAGAUAUGUGCAUCUUUGUUUCAAAGGGAGAGGCUUUUUGUAUCCCCGCAAGCUCUUUCCCUGGACUCAAACCAAACUCCAUUUAUUUUAUAGGCUUUGGUGUAGGUGUUUACGAUCUAACCACCAGAACCUCCUCAAGUUUUCAGGCUCCCACAGGUGCACUGAAUUAUCCUUGGGCCCCUUACUGGUUUCCUCCAUCUUCUAGCUAGUGCUGCUACGACUAAGGGUUGCUUCUGUUUCUAUUCCAUGUCUACUUGCUAAGAUCUAAAUCCAUUUGGACGAAAUAUAAAAAUUCAUUAUCAAUGGAUACAGUUCUUCUUUAGGUAUAAUUCUUAAAUACAUAACUUGUUUUUUACACACUACGGCUAAAACAUUUCUCACCAAAAUUAAUUAACAUUCUCUAACCUCACUAUAUCACAAAGAGAAAAAAAAUUACAUAUUUUUUGACUAAUGGUUUUCAUAAAAAUUACGUCUAAUUUGACAAACCAUGGAUGUCAAAUGUUUUAACCAUCCCCAGCAACAAACAAGACAUGUCUAAAUUAUUAUUAUUUUUUUAAAGCAUGUGAAAUAAAAAUUGAGAAACAAAAUAAAAACACUAUCGUCGUGAAUGCUGAUGGUAAGGUGAAGCUGCUUGAAUUCGAAUCCUCCGUUUCUGAAGAAAACUUUGAAGAGAUCUUUUCAUAGAAGCCUUUGGAUUUGGAAGCUGAUGAUGAUGUAAUCUUGUCAACCUGUUCCGAGGAUCCGACCCGUUUGAGGAUGACCUCUCUUCCAUCUCUCUACUCGCGAUCGAUAUUAUAGAUUUAGCCUGCAUUCAUUCAUAAAAAACAUUAAUGGUUAAUAAGAUCCAUUAAUUGCUUAUAAAAUAUAAUCAUAUAAAUGACUGUGUAUAUAAUUAUAUAUGUACAUACCUGAAGAUGGGUAACAUUCGAAGAAACACACAUUUUUCCAUUGUAGAAAAUUGUUAUCCUCUGAGAUUCUUCCUCUUUUGGUAGUGAGUUUCCAGAGCUUCUUGAUUCUACCACACUUCAAAUCAGUUAAAUGUAAACUUUAUUAGAUUCAUGUAUGUAGUUAAAUUUCAUAGAUUUGAGUCCAGAGAGAGAGAGAGAGACUUACGAGGUAUCUGAUUCAUCAUAAGAAGAUGUUGGAAAGAGACGAAGUUCCAAGUCGCAGUUUUUCUCCAUCUUCUGAGUUGUAAGGACAAUAACUGAUGAUGCUGAUGAUGGUGGUGGUGGUGAUAUUGUGUCUGGAUUGACGAAUAUAAGUUUAUUUAUAUGUUUGGUUUGUGAGGAGGGAGAGAGGGCGCGAGAGAGUUAGUGGAGAUAGAACACGGUAUCCUAAGACAGAGACAGACAGAUCACAGCUUCUUUUUAAUUAUCUCACAUGGAAAAUGUUUUUUCUAUUUUUUUAUUUGUGUAGUAUAGGUUUUGGAUUCUUUAUUAAUUGAACUAGAAUAAAAAGACAAAAGUCACGAAACUUUAUUUUUAUUCUAUUUUUUCCGUUGCAUUUUAAUACGUAUACUACUAAAUCUCUACUGGCGGUUUCGACGCAUUUUGUACAUUUCCGAAAAUAGUACUCUCAUAUUUCAUUCGUUUUGAUUGGAAUAAUUAUUUGUUAAAAUUUUCUGUAUCUUUGGUAUUUUUUAUUAUACUCCUAUAUUAGUUCACCGGUAUACUAAAGUGUUUGAUGCCUACCUGCUUUUUAGUUGUCAAAGUAUCGACUGCUGAAUAGUAUCGACUGCUGAAUAGUUUACCGAUUAAUAUUCACAGGCGGCGUAUCUUCUUAAGUCAAUUCUAUAAUCACUGCACACGCAAAUAUUAUCAAUCUUGGCGGUGUUUGACAAAACUUAUCUGUUGUAUUAAGUGUUACGAAAUUUUAUUAAAUGAUUAGAUUAAGGUAGAAUCAGGAUAACUAAUUAAUAUUUGAUCGAAGCACGUGUUUGCGUCUCCAAUAAGUUGCUCCUUUUGAUAUUUCUUACUUUUAUUAACUCUUCUACAAGAUUCAUAUGUAUCUAUUUUCUUUGCGGCUAUGAAACAAGUGGUAAGGAUUCAUGGAGAAAAAACGUGGUAGGGACAACAUUUUUGAUUAGUGAUUGAAUUUAGUUGUCAAGCCAUCCACUAUAAUGUUAUUUUAGUUAAGAUAAAAACAUAUUUGAAAUGAAAUCGGUUUAAGUAAUUCUCAUUUACAUUCCGCUUUUGGUUGUUAUAAUGUUUAAAUUGAGAUAUGUUGAUCAAUCUUGGUUUAUGCAAAACGCAUCCGUCUAAAAUAAUUCUUUUAAGACCUUUCGGUAAAUGUAGUGGAAACCAUGGGCUAAUCCAAGUCUUAAUUGAGUUCCCAUUGCCUACAUAAUUAGUUACUUUAAUCAUUGAGUCAAUGGCAUUUUUGUUUGUCAUAAAGAAAGAAAUUUAACAAAAAAUUUAUUUGUUAUUUUGUUUAUUUAAUUUAGAUAAGAAACUAACAUAGAAGUAAAACACGUGAGUCAUGAGAAAUACUAGUAACACACGACCUUAAGAUUGUUGGCUUCCCAUGCACCAUUCAAUUGAUUCAUUAUCUCAUAAACAUCGUUUUCGUUUCAGAAAUUAAUUUUGAUUAAGCCUUUACAAAAAAAAUUUGAUUACGUGCCUAGAUGUGGUCGACUUGAUGUGGUCGACUUAUUAACGAUUUAUCCCAUUAAAAUAAAAUAAAAAGUAGUUGACGAAUCCCUUUUUCGUUUGUUUCUAUGUCGACGACUCCUUAGAUGUGCCCGUAUACCGGCAAUAUAGAAAACAAAAGCACGUUGAAAAUAAAUACAAGUCGUUCGAUAUUUCAAAAACAAAUAAGUCAAUUUUGGGACCGAGUUUAACAUGUGGUGUUGUGUUGCACAAAUCAACGAACAAUGAAAUAAUCAAAAGCUAUCUAACAAUCUACCACUGAUAUGAAGCUUGCAGUUUUGACACCCAACGAAUGAACACACUGGUUAUUGUAUUUAAUAUUCAUUUGCUAUGAUUCUUUUUUUCUCGAUAAAAUAUUUAGAAGAAUAAAAAUGAUCUAAAAUUGUGAAAGGAUUAACAACUACUAAGGGUAAACAAGUAAAAGAUAAUAUCCCUCUAAACAUAUAAAAAUAAAUUUUACUAUAAACAUGAAAAUAUUAACCUGAAAUAUUUCACCAUAAACCUUCUUUUGUUCGGGCUGAUAUUGUUUUUAAAAAGAUAUUAAUCCGAACAAAACAAACAUGAGAAGUGAAAUACAUUUUUUGGUAAAAUGAAAAGUGAAAUACUUGUGAAAAAGUAUCAAAGCAAAAUAAUUGAUUAAAAGGCAGAUCCUGAGAAUUGGGAUCCUACAAAGCUACAUUUUCCAAUCAAUAUUCUGGAUUUGAGUUCAAAUACAAAAAAAAAAAUAUUGUAAUUAUUAAAGACUAGAGAGAAAAGUCGAUAAAUAAGAAAAUGAAUUGAUUAGACCAAAAAAGAAGAAGAAUUGAUUAGAGGCUCUGAGCCACAAAGUUGGAAAAGACUAGAAGCAUGUGUCGUCUUUUUUGGGUGAAAAGCAUCUGUUAUUUGUUCUAAUACAGUAUUUUCACAACUUCUGUUGUUAAUAAAUCCGAAGUUAAAAAAAAAGAAGUCCGAAGUUAGUUAAAAUUUCAUUUUAGAAUAAAGAUAUUUUAGAGGACAAAAAAUUACAUGAAUUACCAUCACAAAUUGACAAUGUAACACAGUUGUCUUAGAGCAAACGGUAGAGUACUUGAAAAUGCAGGAAUGUUCUCUAACUUGCAAGAAGUCAAGUUACAUCGUAGGCUUAUCAUCAAACAACGUUCAUCUUUUCUUAUUAAGCCAAAAUCCAAACAAGUCAACCACUCCUACCUCUCGAUGAUGGAUUGUAAAUUCUUAACUCGUGACAAUCUGCUAUCUCAAGUGUGUGCAUAUUCAUGACCAAGGCCAAUUAGCAUCUCGCCACGCAAAGCGACAUCCUCCAAAACCACCACUACAGCCAUCAAAGCUAAUUGGUUCACCAGAGUUUGAUCCAUCUAAACCAACACAUCGAAGUUUUUGAUCACGUUUCGCUGAGUCCUCUCUGUAUGAUGGGUUUGAGUAUCUAGGGUGUUGGAUGAAAGGUACAUUCUUCCACCAGAGCUUAAGUGCCUAUAAAAUGAAUAGCAGUUAUGUAAUCUAGCCUACAAGUUGAUGAUCCAUAUGUACUUACAAAGAUAUUGAGUAUAUAUGAUGUAACUUACAUGCCAAUAGAUCCAUAUAGCAACCUUAUGAGGCAUCAACCAGAAGAAGACCGCGGGAUCUGAAACCCGUGUUUGGUCUAUUCUUUUCGCCUUCAAUGUCGCAGAGAAGUAGUUACCGUGAUGAGGAUGCUGUGAUUCAAUUGAUACAGAUAACUCAUCUCCAGGUUCAUUUGCUCUAAUCUUCCAAUUCCCAAGCAUAUCCUGAAAAUACAGUUAAAAACACUUAAUGAAUUCCACAAGUUGAACAAGAUCAAUCAAUAGAUGAUUGUAACAUCAUGAGAGUAGUAACAUACCAUGAAAGGACUGACUUGUAAUGAUUUAGCAACCAAGUCAGAUUCAGGGUCGAAAACAAAUGUCACUCGUUCCCCCCAUGGCGUAUUUGUAACCUACCAAAAAAAAAACCCUCUAAUCAUCAUCAAUAGAAACCACUAACGAAGAAACAGAGUAGAGAAAAACAUAUAUUUAUAUAAAUAAGUACCUGUCCAAUGCAUUUAAUUAAGCGUUUACUUGAUCCUUCCAAGUUGUAGCAAUAAUACAAACUCAAUGGGUUCUGUUCAUAUCCAACGCUUGGAGGUAUUGUCAAUAAAAAACUGCAACCAAAAAUAACAGAGAUCAUCACAUAGCCAUUAAACUUUCUGAAACUAAAAAGAUUCGAUCUACGCUGUUUCAGAUCAUAUACACAUCCUUUACACAAACAGAAUCUUAACUCACUUCUUAUGAAACAUAACCUCUUUUAGUAACACUGACAGUUUCAGUUAAUCAUAUAUUGUCUCUUCAUUCAGUUUUGUAAGAAAACAUAUAAACGUUACGUAUUACGAAGUUUCAUUUGAGAAUCUCUAAUCUCGACGACGGUGAGAAGAGAAAGCUUACAUCGGCCCGGUGGUACGAGCGAGAAGGCGAGCUUCGUCGGCGGAGAGAUGAUCCGGCGGAGUUUCAAGGGAUUUAUCGAGGUCGAAGAGCGCGUAACGGACGGUGUAACGGAAGGAGUGCCGGACGGGACGGAGACGGUCGUGCCAGACGGUGCCUUCGUAGUAAGAGACGCUGGAAUCGACGGCGGAGCGUGAAGGUAGGAGACGGUGGAUAAGGAGGCGGAAGGGGAGGAGGAGGGAGAGGAAGAGCGU